UAUAUAAUUUGGUGUUCAAAUUUUUAUUUUUACUCACUAUUUUUAGUACAAUUGGCUAAAGAUUUGGUAAUUAAUUAUUUGAGAUUUCAAAUUCGAAGCAUAAACUUUUAUUUGUAGGAUACUUUAUUUUUUAAAAAAUAUUGAACAAAACAGAUAUCAAUCUCUCUCAAAAGAAAAAAAGAAAAAUGGAUAUGUGAGAUUGUAAAUUUAAUAAAAUUUGGUUGCUUGAAAGUAGUUGAAGUGAAAAAAGCUAUUUUUACAAAAGCGUCAUUUACAAAAUUAAGUGCUUUUGAGUUCGAUUGUUAGUUAGCUAUAAAGUAAAAAAAAUUAUGGUUUUGUAGUUUCGAUUGUUUAAUUAUUUUAUUACAUCUAAUUUGUAUUCAUGAUUUUGAAUCAAAUUUUGAAUUUACUAUUAGAUUAUAAAUUUUGAAUUCGGACGUGAAUUCAUAAUUUGAAUUAAAUUUUAAAUUUAAAUUAAAAUUUGAGUUUAAAUUAUAAUUCAAAUUGAUCAUUUAAAUUUAUAAAUUCAAAUUGAUCAUUUAAAUUUAUAAAUCAAAUUCAAAGUUCAAACUAAAACUUAUUAUUGAAAUUAAAUUCAAAUUUAAGCAUAAAAGUUUAUAUUUUGAAUUCAUGUUUCAAUAGAUAAUUUGAAUUUAUAGUUUGAAACAAUUUGAAUUUAAAGUUCAAAAUGAGGCUCCGAGCUAAAAGAAAUUUGCAUAAAAUUAAAAUUUAGAUAUUUUAAUUUAAAUUUUAAUUUCAAAUUUAAAUAAAAAUUUAAAUGUAAACUUUAAAUUUAAAUAUAAAUUUGUAAAUGUAAAUUUAAAAUUUAAUUUGCUAUUGAAUUUGAAAUUACAAAUAAUAUUCAAAAUGUGAAAUUAAAUUUAUAAUUUUAAUUCAAAUUCAAAUUAAAAUUUAACUCUAAAACUAAAUUCAAAAAUUAAAGUUAAAAUCAAAUAUAACAUUUUAGAUAAACUCUUCAUUUUCAUUGACUUCAGAAUUUUAGGAGCUGAAGUUAAAACGUGAGGUUUAAUUAUAAAUCACUUUCUUAACCCACUUUUGUAAAAUGAGCAGCUUUUAUAUCCAUUUUCGUAAACCAAAUGAUGGAUAAAGCGUCGCUUGUUUUAAAGUAUUAUUUUCACUGCUUUACAUUCAACCAAUCAAACAUGUUCAAGUAAGAGGAGUAUUUUAUGUGAGAUGUGCUCCGUGUUCUUUUAAAAGUGAUGGACGAAAUCAAACUUUUAAAAGCAAUGAACUAUUCACUGUUUCUACGGAACUACACAAUUUUUUUUAAAGCGGUGAAUCUUUCACUAUUUUUAUAAAAACAGUAAAUAAUUCACUAUUUUUCUUUUUAUUUUUUCCGACCUGACUUCGCGCCGCUGAAUAAAAUUUAGAUUUAGAACUAAAAAUUUUAUUUUAAAAUAAAUUUUUUUAGACACAACUUGUGAGCUAAAACCCCCCAAAUGCAGCUAGCAAUGUGAGAGUGCGUUCUUAUCCGUUCAUUCAUCAAAGUAUCUAUUCAGUGGGAGCGGAAGAUUAAUGUGCACGUUCUCUGAAGACCAACCAGCUUGGCAUGUUGACUGACCAACCCCAUAUAUAAACUUAUAAAUAGGGCGUUCAAGUGCACUUACUCUCAGUUAAUGCAGCACCAAUUUAAGCUCAGCCCGAUUCAAACACCGAACUUUACCUUACAUCCCUCGAAAUCAAAAUCAAGCUCAUUCUCGCUCCAUGGAAUCCUCAUCUCCGGUUUUCGCGGUGCGACGGGGCGAGCUCGAGCUCGUGGCGCCGGCGGAGCCGACGCCGCGCGAGCUCAAGCCGCUGUCCGACGUCGACGACCAAGAAGGCCUGCGGUUCUACAGCUCCGGAAUCCACGUCUACCGAAGCAGCAAUGGUGCGAAAGACGGCGAGGACCCGGCGACGGUGAUAAGAGACGCUCUUGCGAAGGCGCUUGUGUUCUACUACACUCUCGCGGGCCGCCUCCGGGAGGGCGCGGGUAGGAAGCUGGCCGUGGAAUGCACGGCGGAGGGCGCCGUGUUUGCGGAGGCUGAUGCUGACGUCCGGCUCGAUGAUCUUGAAGGCGCGCUCUGCCCGCCGUUCCCUUGCCAUGAGGAGCUGCUCUGCCCGCUCCAGCAGGGUUCUACUGGAAGUUACAUCGUCGACUGCCCUCUCCUCUAUAUUCAGGUAGUUUUUCUGUAGUUUUUUCUUCGUGUGCCACAUAUUAAUAAUAAUAAUUAAAAAAAUACUAAGUCCACAAUUUUUUUAAAAAAUAUAUCUUACAAUCCUCUAUAUAUUGAAGGGUUUACAAAAUUGCUUAUCGCUGGUAGCUAAUUAAAAAAAAAAAAAAAGAAGUGACAAGAUAUAUAGUAAAACUGUAAAUUUAUACUUCUUUUCAAUUGUAGAUCUAAAAAAGCUUUAGUGAAAUGUUCCAAGGGCAUUUGAUAUAUGUCAGAACUAAAACCGAGAAGAUCUAGUACGUCGGGUGGAAAAAUACUAGAAAGAGAUCCGAGAAAGAGAGAAGAAAAAUGAAGCACACAAUAUUUACGUGGUUCGGCCACCAGCCUACGUCCACGGGCAAAAACAAAGCAGAGAUCUUUAUUAUAAUCAAAGUGGUGUACAAAAUAUGCCUCUCUCGUAAAACACUAAUUACAAAAAUACAUUCAUAUUUCCUCUCUCAUCUGCCGCACCAAAUUAAUAGCAAAAAGAGUAUAUUUAUAAUAGUGGCUAAAUCCUAAUACGAUUAGAAAUACAAAUCCACUAAGACUAGGAAUAUCUUAACUAGAUUAGGUAUAAUCUAAACUUAACUUGAUGGGAUAAUCAAAACAGAAUAGGAUUAGAAAACCUUACAGUACUAAAAUUCGAGACAUAUUUAACAAUAUAUAUUGUUGCCUAUCUGCUUCAUAAAUGUAUAUAAAAUAAUGAAAACUCUUUGCAUCAUAUAUAUACUAACACCCCAACAUAAAGACGCUAUAAUUUCUGAAUGCUACACUACAACAAAAACGGUCUAUAGCGACACUUUUAAAUGUAGGUACAUGUCAAAAAAGUGCUGUUAGCUAAAUUAUCGACACUUUUAAAAAGUGUUGCUAUAUGUGGGGUCGCUAGGUAUAUAGUGACAGCUAAAGAGUGUCGCUAUAACCUACAAGAGUGCUGCUAAUUUACCAAUACUUAUUUAAGCAUUUAGCAACCGCCGAAACUCAUCUCGUUGGCUGCGGUGGCGGAGGAGGACGACAGUAAAGACUUUUCGUCUAGAAUUUCAGUAGAUUGAGUGAAGAGAGAAGAAAAGAUGGUAAUUGAUUUUUCUUUUUUUUUUCUUUUCUGUUUGUAAUCGGGCCAAAUGGACUAGGUGUGGUGGGUUGAGUAAAGUAAUCUUUUAUUUUUGGUUGGAUUGGGCUUUAUAUUUAGGCAUUAGUAGAUGUGUUUUUAAGUUUUAGCGUAAAUGGGACACUUACUCAAAAGUGUCCCAAACAUGUGUCCCUAUAACCUAAUUCUGUUAUAGUGCUAGCAGUCCUCAUUAGUCAUAUAUUGCAAGAUUCAAAUAAACGGCAAACUAACUAACUGUUGAUUGUAGUUAAUUAAUGUUUUACUUAUCAAUUAAUGAAGAUUAAUAUAAUAAUGUCGUUGCAUGCAGGUGACGCGGCUCAAGUGCGGAGGCUUCAUCUUCGGCCUAAGGAUCAACCAUACCAUUGCCGACGCCCCGGGGGUGAUGCAGUUCCUCAAGGCCCUCGGCGAGCUGGCGCGCGGCGCGGCCGCCCCCUCCGUCAGACCCGUGUGGGCCCGCGACCUCCUCACUGCCCGCUCUCCGCCAUGCAUCACGCACGACCACCCCGAGUACGAGUUCUCGACUGAAGAGAUAGCCAAGGACAAGCUGACGUCGGUCCUCCCAAAAGACAUGGUCCGCCGGCCCAUCUUCUUCGGCCCCAAGGAAAUCUCCGCUCUGCGGAAUCACCUGCCGGCACACCUCCGCAUGAGCUCCAGCAGGUUCGAAUUGAUCACUGCAGCCAUCUGGCGCAGCCGCACCGCCGCCCUCGCCUACGGCCCCGAAGACGAAGUUCGCGUUCAGUUCAUCGUGAACGCGCGGGGCCGGAAGCGGUCGCAGGCCCCUCUUCCUCCAGGCUUCUACGGGAACGCGUUCGCGUUCACGGUGGCGUCGUCUGCAGCGGCAAAGCUGUGCGAGCAGCCGCUGGGCUACGCCCUUGAGCUGGUGAAGAAGGCGAAGGCGAAGGCGACCGACGAGUUCAUGCAGUCGGCAGUGGAUUACUUGGUUUCAAACGGCCGACCGCACUUCGCGGUGGCGAAGACGUACAUUGUUUCGGACGUGACGAGGGCCGGGUUCGAGGAUGUCGACUUUGGGUUGGGGGAGGGGGUGUAUGGCGGGCCGGCAAAAGGCGGCGAGGGGGAGAUUCUUGGUGUCGCGAACUACAUCACCCGGGCCAAGAACGGCAAGGGGGAGGAGGGCAUAUUUGUGGCCGUGUGCUUGCCUUCUUAUGCUAUGGAGAGGUUCCAGAUGGAGAUUGAUACUCUCACUCACGAACCAGUUUUUGAUCCCUAUGUAUGAAUGAUCACAACCAACCACUACAUAGGGAGCUUCAUAACUACUUUUAUAAUUUCACGGUGGAAGCAAAGAAUAUAAGUACGUGAUGAAGGGGUCACUAUUUAUUAGAUUCUAAGCUUGUUUAUUAUUUUAUUUUUUGAAAGAAUGUGUAUCUUAUGAAAUAAUAUGCCUCUUUGUAUGAUUGUAUUUUUUAGUUUAGCCAUAUGUCUCUAAUGUAGGUAUGUUCUUUUUGUGAAGAGUUAUAGCUUCUCAUGCUUCUAUAUAUAGGGCAUGUGAUUUAUUGUGUAAGAAUCCAAUUGUAUGGCAAUUAUACUAAGUUCAUGCAUACUUAUGUUCAGUCAUACGUAAAUAAAUUUUACAUUUCUAAUUUAAAGUAUUUUAUAGUUGUUUUAAUUUAGCUCUUGCCUACCAACAUUUGGUAUCUGAGGACGCACUAUGUUGCUAGAAAAAAAUUCUGUCAAAAAAAAGGCCAAUUAACAUCUCCAAACCCAAAUUUCAUAAUUAUUAAAAUACAAUUACGAAAAUUAGCGCAUUUAAUGAAAGCACUUCUUGGUUCUCAAGACCAUUGGGAGUUAGUUAAAACUGGAUGGCAUGAACACACAGAACAAGAAGAAGCUGCAUUAACUGUAACUCGCUAAAACGAGUUGAAUGAUACAAGAACGAAAGACAAAGAACAAAAGAGGCCUUUUCUAUCUGUACCAAAUAGUAAAGUAGUCGAUGUUCUAGAAAAUUACCGAAACAACUUCGAGCAAACCAGCAUUGCCGACAUUCAAGAAAAUUGUCAAAGAAACUUCGAGCAAAACAACAUGGGUUGUUCUUACUGCCAUCUUUAAAGAAGAUGACAAAGUGAAACAGAUUCGUCCACAAAACUUUCGAGUAGAUGAAGCAAUCCGCGUGAAGGAGUCCGAAAGUGUGGCAGACUUUCUUUCUCGCAUUUUGGUAAUUGUAAACCAAAUGAAGUGAAACGGCAAAAAAUUAUAGAGAAAAUAAUUAUAAUAAAUAUAAGAAUUAAAAGAGAUAUAUUAAUGCCCAACAUAAUAGCAACAAUAAUGGUCAGGAUUCACGACACGAAAAUAGGCAAAAAGAUGCAGACGUAAUAAUAGUUGCCUAGGUUCUUAUAAUGGGCCAAGAUCAAAUAUCCAAUAUUAUAAUUGCAAAAAUUAUGGUCACUAUAGCAAAAGUUGCUAGUAUUAAAAUACUGAAAGAAUGAACUAUUACAUCGACAGUACAAUAGAAAAAGAAGUUACAGUAAGUUUAUUACUACUUACAUGGGCACUAUAGCAAAAAUUGCUCGCAUUAAAAUACUAAAAAAAUAAACUAUUAUAUCAACAGUACAAUAGAAAAAGAAGUUACAAUAACUUUAUUACUGCUUACAUGCCAAGAUGAAGUUUAAAAUACACAAAACGUAUGAUUUCUGAAUUCAGAUGCUUCGAAUCAUUCGUGUGAAUGAAAGGGACUAUUUGUUCAAAUGGACGAGAAUGUUGAUGGCAAUUUGUCAUGCUCCGAAGCCUUUUGUAAAGUUUUUUUGGAAAAGGUAUAAGUUUGAAAACAUAGUAGAAAAAUGCUCAAUUUUUUUUUUGAAAUAAACACCUUGCUCGUAAGACAGACAAAUCUGCCACAAAUAUAAUAUUUUUCUACAGAGUUUAAAUUUUACAUUUACUACACAAUGUGAAAUUUGGUGAUUCAUCAAAAAUACAUGUUAAAGAAAGAAUAAAAGUUAUGUUUUAAUUGAAGAAUGGUCAAGAAGAAUUCAUCUUGAAUGUGUAUUAUAGGCCAGAAUUAAAGAGAAACAUACUAAAAAUCAAACAACUACUGGAGAAAGGAUACAUUAUUCAUUUGAGGGUUCUACCCUAACUUUGAAGGAUAAGAACGAAAAAAAUGAUUGCAAGUGCAUAUGCCAAAAACCGAAUAUUUCGUAUUAAUAUAAAGUCAGAAAUUAAAAGGUAUUAUCACUCAAAAUUUAAAAAAAAAUUAAAAUUAUGAUAUUUGAGUUACGAUCAUUUAAAUUAUAAUAUUUUAAAGUUGUUAUCCUCUAGAAAAAUAGUGGAUGGUCUUUUCGUUAUCAAACACAACUCAAAAUAAAUAUAUAAAGGUUGCAUAAUUGGAAAACAAACUAAACUUUCUUUUAUCAAUAGCAAAAUAAAGUGUGCAACGACGUAUCUAAAUUUAGUUCAUACAGAUAUAUAUAUAUGUAAUCCUUUUCCUGAGUCUCAUAGAAAAAAUAAGUAUUUUAUUAUUUUUAUGUAUGAUUGCACUAGAAAAAUAUGAAUUUAUUUUACCAAUUUUUUUUUUCAUAUUUCCUACUUUCAAAAAAUAUAAAGUUUUGGUAGAAAGGGUAAGUAGAAACAAAAUAAAAAUAUUGAGAUAAGAUAAAAGAGAAGAAUACGCUUCAAAUGACUUUAAAGAAUACUGUAGCAAAGAAGCUAUCCAACAAUAAUUUACAAUAGCAUAUAGUCCACAACAGAAUAAAGCGUGGAAACUUCACUUCCUAAAGGAUAUAGCGCUAUUGGAGUAAGAUGGAUAUACAAGAUCAAAUACAAUAUUGGUGGACAAAUAAUACAAUAUAAGGCGCAGUGUGACACCCCUAAUAGUCCCACAUUGAAUGGAAAUAGUAUUGUUAGUGGGUAUAUAUGGGACCAUGGACACUAGUAAUAAUAACUAGGCUAAAGCAUUUUGGGCCAGUGGUUUGGAUCUAACGAGUUAUUAUUGCUAGCUGAUCGGGUUGUUGCAUUUGGUAUCAGAGCCAAUCACCGGCCGGAAGUGUGAGAUCAGUCUCGGCUGAAGCAGGAUCAGAAUAAUAAGGUGACAGACUAAGUCAGGGUUAGGAUGACAAGGUGAUAGGCUAAGCCAGGAUCAGGAUGACAAGCCUAAUGAGAAAAAUCUUACAUCGCCUGAUGAUCUUUGAUUGUAUGUGUGACAGGGUUGACGAGAACGUCAAGGCCUAAAUGGGGGAAGUAUGUGACACCCUCAAUAGUCCCACAUCGGAUUGGAACGGGAUUUUUAUUGGUUAUAUAUCAGAUCCUAGACACUAGUAAUUAAUAAUAACUAGGGUUUAAGCAUUUUGCGCUGGUGGAGGUAGGGUUGGGUUGUUGCACAUGGCUAGUUCCAAAAGGAUACAAACAAAAAAAAGUAGUAGAUGUAAACAUUUUUAUAUUUAACAAGGGAUACAAACAAGAAAAAGGAGUAGAUUAUGAAGAAGUAUUUGCACUUAUAGCUUGAGUUGAUACCAUACAACUAAUUCUUGUAAUAGCUACUUUUCAUGGUUGGCAAGUCCAUCAAAUGAUGUAAAAUUGACAUUUGUUAAUGACUUUUUUGAGAAAGAAGUUUAUAUUGAACAAUUUUUUGGAUAUAGAAUAAAAGGUCCAAAAAAUAAAGUUUAUUAAUUGAAUAAAGCUUUGUGUGGCUUAAGACAGGCUCCACGAGUAUAGAAUACUCAUCUUGAUAAUUAUUUUCAAAAGGUUGGAUUUCAUAAAUGCCCUUACGAGUAUACAACAUACAUCAAGAAAAAUAAAAAAGAAAAAAAGGAGAAAUUUUAAUCAUAUGUGUAUAGGUGGACAAUUUAUUAAUCGCUAGAUGUAGUAAGGAUAUGAUAGAUGAUAAGAGUAAAUGAGUUUGAAACAACAGACUCAGAGCUUAUGUCACUUCAAAAGAAUUGAGAUUGAUUGGAUAUACGAAUAGUAAUUGGAUCGAAGAUCAAGAUGAAGGAAGAUUUUUGCAUCUUUCUUUCCUUAAUCCAAGCAUCUUGAAAUAAAAUUACUGUUUCUUUUUUUUUCUUCAUUUUCUCUUUUUUUCUCUCCAUUCAAACGAAUAAGUUCAAUCAUCCGAGCCGAACUCGGAAAAAUCAUUGAUAUUUAAGUUUGCGCUUUCUCAUUUGAAUUAAGCGCUUUAAUUAAACUCAUCCCACUAGGAGUGAACGAAGUUCACAAACAUGUUAUGAUAACUGGCUUGUGCAAGGACAAUCAAUGAACAACAUAUUUGUUUUAAAAAUUGGAAACAGCAAUUAAUCAGUAGCUUCCCCAUUGGGUUACUGAACUUUAUGUUUCUAGUAAAUGAUCUGUAUCCUGUGUUUAUUUGCAGUUUUCACCGGACAUUUAUCCCUCGCUCGUAGGUGACUCUGGAGAUCUAUAGAUCCUGUGGCUUUGGGUGAUGUAAAAGAAGCAACAAUUGCUACAGGAGCUAUAGUUUUAAAGGGUCUGUGAAACUGUCAUUUGGUAUCGGCGCUUCAAUCCUCCGUACAACUAACAAUCAUACAACGCAAUCCGAGUAGCGGUUAUGUUAAUAACAGAUCGAGAGUGAGCUUAAUAGCAGAGGAGUUGAGACGUUUUUGCUGCGACAAUUAGUCCAUUUGAGGAUCUAGAAAAACUGCAGAUUUUAGCCUCUUUUUUAUUGGGUAAGAUAGAAAGGAAAGAAUACAAAUUUUUCAAGGCUUUUGAACUCCCCCAAAGUGAUUUCUAUUUUAUUUCUUUUUUCUUUUACUGUUAUGCAUUACCCUGCCGUUGCUUUGGAGAAAAGGAAAGAACAAAGCCCAGUGCCAGAUAAAAGAAGAAAUUAAAGGGUCCUUCUUAAUUUGCUAUCACUCUAAUCUAUCACCCCACCCCAUCAAUAACAAUACAAUAUAAUAACAAAAAGAAGAAGAAGAAAAAAAAUUCGGUAGAAGUAAGAAUUGUAAGGACGAGAUAUGAAUGAAGCAGGAGGGACCCCUGUUCUGCUACCUCAUUAACGUACGCUAUAGUUUCUUGUUCUUCUUCCCAACCUUACCAUCUUUACAGUACACGAGAAUCAAUUACUUACUUCAGUUUAUCGGUAUCCAAAAUAAAAUAAAACAAUAAUAAUAGACCGGAAAAGGAAAGAAAAAGAGAGAGAGAGAGAGAGAGAGAGAGAGAGAGAGAGAGAAAUGAUAAGAAGAAGAAGAAGGGAAAAAGAAGAAUCUAAUUAAUAAGGAGUCUUUAGAGGAGAAGAAAUUGGGAAAUAAAUUGUGGGUUGGGCUAACUCAGUGCGCGCGGGAGGUGCAGUUGGGGUGGAGGGCGGUGCCGUUGGGCCAGAAGAAGGAGAGCCGGCAGGAGAGGUGGGUCCAGAAGCGGACGGAGAGGAAGAGGCCGACCCGCCAGCGCGUGCGGGCCUGGCCGGCGAGGUCGAACGGCACGAGGCCGGCCUUGAGCGCGGCGUCCAUGGCCGCCAUGGCGUCGGCGUCGAGCGGCACCGGCCCCGCCCGCGCGUCGUACUGCAGCGGCAACGAGCUGUUCCGCGGCACCUCGAACGGGCCGGCGCGCAGCAGCGCGACGUCGAUCCCGUGGAAGCUGAGCGUGAAGGCCACGUCCGAGAAGCCCGCGGCGGCCGCGCGGUUGUCGUUCUCGGCGACCAUGAUGAGGACCAUCUCGACGCCGAGCGUGCCGGACUGGUCGUAGUCCAGCCGGCCCAGGUGCGCCGCCGGCACGUGGAGGUAGGGCAUCUUGGGCUGGUAGAUCAGGUAGACGGCGAACACCACCACGCCCGUGAUGAUGACCAGCACCGCCAGCACGGAGCAGACGAUCAGCGCCGCCCACACCAGCCCCUGCCGGCCGCGCUCCGAGCUGCGCCGUUGCAUCGAUCCCUCCCCCCCUCUGACUGCUCUCCUCUUCUUCUUGGGAUCGCUUUGCGGGCAGGGGCAACCGCAUCCGGCCGGGAUUGGCUGCAGGAGGCUUAGCUUAAGGCGGGAGGAGGAGGUGGCCUCUUCUCCUUGUUGGGUUUGGGUUUGGGUUUGGGUUUGGGUUGGGCAUAAAGGGGAGGGGAGGUGUAGGUGAGGAUGAGGAGCAAGGUUUGGUAUCUCCUUUCCUCUGAUGGAGCAAAGCUUAUUAGUUAGAGCAUUCUAGGAAUCUCGGUGUAGCUUUACCAUUCGCUUAAAGGGGAAGCAAAAAAUACCAUACUUAGCUCUCUACCCCCUCCUCCUCACUUCCUGCACUUUUUUCACUCGUCGCUCUCCGGCGGAAAAUAAUAAUAAAAAAAAUAAAUGCCAUCUGUACAUUCGAAAUAAAUAUUAUAAAAUUUUCACCUUCUUUGGACAGCAUAAAUUUUAGAAUCGAGGAUGUAAAAUAUACAUUUUUAUUUAAUAUGUAACGGCCAAUUUGCAUAAAAAAUUCACUAGUUUUGGGCUUUUGCAAAAUUGAGUCACCUUUUUCAUUUUUGCAGAUUCGGUCUGUUUUUUCAAAAAGAUGACCAAACUAUCCCUCUUUUAAAAUGCAUAAAAAGUACAUGCAUUAAUUAUCUUAAAAAAUGCAGCUGACAAGUCAUUAUUACAGUUACCUUUUUCUUGAAAAAUGAAGUUCUCAUUAACAUACAAAUAAAAAAUUUCAAAUAAUAAAAGCAAAAAAGAAAGAAUGGAAUACACCUUAAAUGGUGCAACAUCGUUCCAAAUUGUGCAAUAUUUCUUCCAAAUAGUGUAAUAUUUGUGUAAACAGUGCAAUGUUUGCACAAUUUAUAUAAUGUUGCACAAUUUUUUAUACUAAAUUACGAAUAACAUAGUAUACUACGCGCAAAUAAUAUAACAUAUUACAAUAUACUAUAAAAAUCAUGUAUUAUAUGUUUAAACGGUGAAUAUUUUGCACUAUUUGUACAAAUAUUUACACCAUUUGCAUAGAUGUUGUAUUAUUAUGAGAGAAUGUUGCACCAUUUAGAUAUUAUGUUGCACUCUUUUUUAAAAAAAAUUAAAAUAUAUUAUAUAUUAAAUAAAGUGUUAAAUUUCUUGGAAAUGACAACUGUUAAGUCAUAAUUAUAUGUAACUUUCUCGAGAAACGAGAAUCCUCAUUUAACUAAGAUAAAAUAAAAAAUAAAAUAUCAUUAAUAUAAUGAAAGAGUGCAACAUCUUCUUAAAGAGUGCAACAUAGUCUCAAAUAGUGCAACAUUCUCUUCCAAAUAGUGCAGUAUUUAUGUAAAUAGUGAAAUAUAUGCAUCGUUAAUACACAUAUUGCAUGAUUUUUAUAUAAAAUUAUGAAUAAUAUAAUAUAUUACGUGAAAAUAAUACGAAAAUAAUAUAACAUAUUAAAAUAUACUAUAAAAAUCAUACAUUAUAUGUAUAAACGGUGAAUAUUUUGCACUAUUUGUACAAAAAUUUACACUAUUUGCAUAGAUGUUGCACUAUUAUGAAAUAAUGUUGCAUCAUUUAGAUCUUAUGUUGCACUCUUUCUUUUUUAAAAUUAAAGUGCAUUGUAUAUUAAAUAAAGUGUUAAAUUUCUUGGAAAUGACAACUGCUAAGUCAUAAUUAUAUGUACCUUUCUCGAGAGAUAAGAAUCCUCAUUUAAUUAAGAUAAAAUAAAAAAUAAAGUAUCAUUAAUACAAUGAAAGAGUGCAAUAUUUAUGUAAAUAGUGCAAAAUAUGUAUCGUUAAUACACAUAUUGAAUGAUUUUUUAUACAAAAUUACGAAUAAUAUAAUAUAUUACGUGGAAAUAACACGAAAAUAAUAUAACUUAUUACAAAAUACUAUAAAAAUCAUACAUUAUAUUAUAAACGGUACAUAUUUUGCACUAUUUGUAUAAAUAUUUACACCAUUUGUAUAUAUAUUGCACUAUUAUGAGAGAAUGUUACACCAUUUAGAUGGUAUGUUGCACUCUUUCUUUUUAAAAAUUAAACUGCUUAUCUAUUAAAUAAAGAGUGCAAUUUCUUGGAAAUGAUAACUGCUAAGUAAUAAUUGCAUGUACCUUUCUCGAGAGACGAGAAUGCUCAUUUAAGACAAAAUACAAAAAGUAAAGUAUUGUUAAUAAGAUGAAAGAGUGCAACAUUCUCUCAAAUAGUGCAACAUCCUUUUAAAUGGUGUAACAUUAGAGAGAAUAUUGCACUAUUUCAUUCUAAUGUUGCAAUUUUUUAUUAUAUUAAUAAUAAUUUAUUUUUUAUUUUAUCUUAAAUAAAUGAGGAUUUUCGUCUUUCGAGAAAAGUACAUAUAAUUAUGACUUAGCAGCUGUCAUUUUCAAGAAAUUUAAAAUUUUAUUUAAUAUACAAUACACUUUAAUUUUUAAAAAGAAAGAGUACAACAUAACAUCUAAAUGAUGCAACAUUAUCUCAUAAUAGUGCAACAUCUAUGCAAAUGGUGUAAAUUUUUGUACAAAUAGUGCAAAAUAUUCACCGUUUAUACAUAUAAUAUAUGAUUUUUAUAGUAUAUUUUAAUAUGUUAUAUUAUUUUCGUGUUAUUUUCACGUAAUAUAUUAUAUUAUUCGUAAUUUUGUAUAAAAAUCAUGCAAUAUGUGUAUUAACUAUGCAUAUAUUGCACUAUUUAUAUAAAUAGUGCACUAUUUGGAAGAGAAUGUUGCACUAUUUGAGACUAUGUUGCACUCUUUAAGAGGAUGUUGCACUCUUUCAUUGUAUUAAUGAUAUUUUAUUUUUUAUUUUAUCUUAAUUAAAUGAGGAUUCUCGUCUCUCGAGAAAGGUACAUGUAAUUAUGACUUAGCAGUUGUUAUUUCCAAGGAAUUUAACACUUUAUUAAUAUACAAUGCACUUUAAUUUUUAAAAAGAAAGAGUGCAAUAUAACAUCUAAAUGGUGCAACAUUAUCUCAUAAUAGUAUAACAUUUAUAUAAAUGGUGUAAAUAUUUGUACAAAUAGUGCAAAAUAUUCACCGUUUAUACAUAUAAUACAUGAUUUUUAUAAUAUAUUGUAAUACGUUAUAUUAUUUGCGCGUAGUAUACUAUAUUAUUCGUAAUUUAGUAUAAAAAAUUGUGCAACAUUAUAUAAAUUGUGCAAACAUUGCACUGUUUAUACAAAUAUUACACUAUUUGGAAGAAAUAUUGCACAAUCUGGAACAAUAUUGCACCAUUUAAGGUGUAUUCCAUUCUUUUUUUUUACUUUUAUUAUUUGAAGUUUUUUAUUUGUAUGUUAAUGAGAAUUUCAUUUUUCAAGAAAAAGGUAACUGUAAUAAUGAUUUGUCAGCUGCAUUUUUUAAGAUAAUUAAUGCAUAUACUUCUUAUAUAUUUUGAAAGAAGGGUAGUUUGGUUAUCUUUUUGAAAAAGCGGACCGAAUCUGCAAAAAUAAAAAAUAUGGCCCGGUUUUGCAAAAAUCCAAAACUAGUGGAUUUUUUAUGAAAAUUGGCCAUAUGUAACACUAAUAUUUUUUCAAAAAAUAAGAAUAAUACUAUCUGUAUAUCCUAAAAAUAUAUAAAUCUUACACUACUAAUUAUAUCUAAUAAAAGCUAUGUGUUGCCGUCUUUUCUUUAAAAUAUUAAAAAUCUAGCACUAUUUGUGAAAAUGUAUAAAGAACUCUUUAGUAUUGACUAUUUUUUUUUAAAAUAGAGCCCUGAACUUUAUUCUCCUUUUAAGUUUUUAUAUUUUGGAUUGAAAAUAUAUAUUAAUGCCCCCUCAAGUAUAGGAUACUGUUAAAAAUGCCCUUAACUGUACCCUCAAGUUAACUAACAAGAUUUACUCCAACCAAACUUAUUAGUAGUUAUUCCAGUUAGUUAAGUUCAAAAUAUUAUUAAGGUUUUUUUGGCUCUGUUACUUGUUGGCCGAUAAUUACUCUAAUUUUAUUUAAUAAAAAGUUCUUAAACCAAGUAAAUUUUAUGGAAUAACUCAAGAAACUAAAUCAAUCACAUUCCAUCAAGAAUAACUUUGAUACACUAGUCUUAGCAUAUUUUUACUCUUUAAAUAUAAGUUGUAAAUUUUAAAUUCUUCACCAGCAAUUGAAGAUGCAGAAUGUAGUGGUGACAGUGAUAGUGCGGGAUAACGAAAACUGGAGCGUCGAGCACGGGAUCUGCAAGUAUAGUCAACAAAAUUUUGGGAUUGCAAAAUCGGAGGGAUGUGAUGUGCGGCAACGCAGAUCGCAACAGAUUGAUGAAGGACUGACAGAAUUUCUAAAUCUUAGGAAUCCUAUUGAGAAGGGGGGGUUUGUUUUCAUACCCUCUCUUGAGAAGAGAGAGAGAGAGAGAGAUCGGAGAGGGAGGAUAGCCGGCAAAUUAACCAUCACAGCCCCAAAUUACAAAAGCAAACUAGAACCAAAGCGUCGGAGGAGCUGCCACGUUGGCUUCUAGCAACUAAAAUUUUAAAGUCGGGGGAGGAGGGGUUGGGAGGAGGGGGUUCGUUUUCACAUCCUCUCUUAAGGAGAGAGAGAUCAGAGAUGGAGGAUAGCCGGCAAAGUAACCCACGCAGUCCGAGAUCACGAAAACAAACCAGAACCAAAGCGUCGGAGGAGCUACUAUGUUGGUUUUUGGCAACUCAGAUUUUGAAGCCUCUCAGCCAUUAAUUGGGAGAUCUUCGAUAGAUUGAUUCAGUAGCUUGCAGAGAUCACACCCGCAGUGCAAAACACAAGUAAAGAGGCAUUUAUCUUGUGAAUUAGAGAGAAAGCGAGAAAGAGCAACCAACGGAGCUCGUGACCACGAAAUGGCACAAACUGAAAAACGCAAACACCAAAAACAAUAGAAAAAAUACAAAAUAGUGAUAGAAGCAACGGAGUCGACAUGUCAAAUGUUGAAGACCCAACAUUUAUGUAUUUGCUUGAUUCUUUGAUCCAAUCAUCAAAAAUUAAAUAAAAAAAUUUACAAAAUUAUCUCGAUGGCUUAGAUUAAAAUGUAAUAUGAAAUACAGAAUUAAUAAAUGGAAGGUGUGUAAACAUCAAAUGCACCCGACGUAGGCCUUCUUAUAGGAUGGAGGAACUUCUCACUUAAAACUGACUAGGAAAGAGAAGGAACUAUUAGGGAUGUCAACGGGUCGGGUUUAGGUCGCGUUUUCGAAAAACCGAACCCGAACCCAAAAACUAAAUUAAAAUACGAACUCGGACCCGAACCCGGCGGGUUUUAAAAAUCCAUACUCAUAUCCGAAUCCGACCAAAAACCUGAAACCUGAACCCAAGCCCGAAAACCUGAACCCGAAAUAAUCAUUUCUUUUUAUCAUAUUUCAAAAUAUAUUAUAGUAAAAUCAGAAUUUUCAGAACUCAAUCAAAUACAAUAUUAAAACAUUCAUGCCAUACAAUAUCAAUAUCUGAAUAAGAAAAGCACAAAUUCGAAUAGUUAAAGACAACAAUACAUUAUUUAAAUAUUUAAUACAAUCUCUAGAUAUUAAAAUAUUAUAUAAUUUAUUCAGGUUCGGAUUCAGGUUUGGGUUGGGUGAAUACAAAUUCCAUAUCCGUAUGCAUAUUCGUUGGAUUUUUAUUUUAUAUACCUAUAACCGAAUCCAUAUCCGUUUAGUUUGAGUAAACCUGUCCGGUUCGGAUUCGGAUUCGGAUAAUAUUUUAGGUAUCCAUACCUAUUGACAUCCCUAGGAACUAUAAACUUAUAUAUUUUUGCACCAGUGUGUCCUUAGCUCAUACACCAAACUCAAUAUUUUAUGCUAAAUAUUUUGAAAUAAAAUUUAAUUUGAUAGCUAAAAUAUUUAAAACCUUUUGUAUAAUGAAUCAUAACCUUAAAAAAUCUAUUAAUUACUUGUGAAAUAAUUCAGAAAAUAGCUUUUUUUUGCAAAUGGCCCCCUCAAAAAAUUUUAUUUUAAAACUAGCCCCAACAAAUUUAUAAUUACAAAAAUGACCCUACUCCUGCCACGCAGGCGCCACGCAAGGACCAUGUGGGCGGGCUGGGAGGGUGGUUGGCAAGUUGAACACGGUGAAUCAAUCACCGUGUUCAAACGCGGUGAAUGAUUACCCGUGUUUCAUAUUUAUAUUCAUUUUCUUCUCUUUUAGGAGUGUCAACGGGUCGGAUUUGGAUCUGGUUUUCAAAAAUCCGAAACCGAAUCCAAAAAUCAAAUUAAAAUCCGAACCCAAAUUCGAACCCGGCGGGUUUUAAAAAUCCAUAUCCAUAUCCAUGUAUUACAGUUAUACGGGUACGGAUUUUUAAAACCCACCGGGCUCGGAUUCGGGUUUUAAUUUGAUUUUCGGAUUUGGGUUCGGAUUUUUGAAAACUCGAUCCAAACCCGACCCGUUGACAUCCCUAAAAGAGAAGAAAAGGAAUAUAAAUAUGAAACACGGUGAAUGAUUCACUGUGUUCAACUUGCCAACCACCCUCCCAACCCGCCCACGUGGCGCUUGCGUGACGCCUGAGUGGCAGGAGCAGGGCCCGUUUUGCAAUUAUAAAUUUGUUAGAGCUAGUUUUAAAAUAAAACUUUUUCAGGGGGGCCAUUUGCAAAAAAAGCCCUUCAAAAAAUUAUUGUACAGACCAAAAAAUUGUUUGAUACUAAAAAUAUAGGCAUAAAAAAUUUAUAAUUUUCAUACAUAGGCCUAAAUAGCUUGAACUAUAUUUAAUAGAUUAACUUUUGAUCAACGGAUUUAUAUUUAUCUAGCAAAUUGAGACUUUUUUAAAUGUUAAUAAGUAUGAGGUGGGAUUGAAAGUCAAAUAAUAACUUUUAUUUUUUAUUGAAACUUCCUAGUUUUUUUUUUGAUUAUUAUAGUAAAAUUUUGUUAAAUUGAAUAGAUUUAUCAACUAUUAGUUUAAUUAUUUUAAUUUUGUUCGCUAAAAUUAAUUAAAAAGUCUUAAACUUGAUAUAAUUAUUAAGAAAUCAGCAAAACAUCUAAGUUAUUUGAUUAAAAUUACUUCGCUAAAAAUAUAAAAGUUAAGAGAGUACUCAUAAAAAAGAAAAAGCUAAGGUAGGGGACGAUUUCAAAAUUAUCUAUUGUUGAGGAGUCUCCGUACAAUUUUUGCAGGUGAAUAAUAGAAAGAAAUUGAUCUUUUCAUUAUGGCAACCGGAUUACCUAGUUACAUGGUAAAAUGUUUAUUUUAUCCAUGGAAGUUUAACGGUCAGAUGUGAUAUUCUUUCUUCUAGAUAAUAAAAUAUGGAAGCAAAGAUAUGCAAAUGCUCCGGCUCCUAUAUAUGUACUAUUCAAAAGUUCUUUUCUGUUACCGAUAGCCUCUAGCGUAAGUGGCAAACAACUUAGUAGUUAGUAUCCGAGAUCAUAAGUUCAAAGUUUAGUUGUUUCAUAUUUUCCAACUAAGUUUAUUUCUAAAAAAAUAAACGAAGCGGAUGGUAUGCUACAUUUCUCUCUCAAAAAAAAAAAAAUCUUUUCUGUUGGAAUGUGAAAUCAACAUUACAAACUGAACAUAUAUUAACCAUUCCAUUGAUCAUUUGGUUGGACACAUACACUUUUAGUUGGUAUAAACUCCAAAUCCACUAUUUACAUGAUGCUUACGCUGUUUUGUUCACAUCUUAUCGUAAAAGUACAAGGGUAUAGGAGGAAAAUUCACUAUUAAGUCACAUCUCAGGAUAUCCAAGUUAAAGAAUUAAGUAAAAUCAUCCAUAAACAAAAGUUUUAUCUUCUAUUAGUCUCAGCAUCUUCUACAAGCUAUUAUCAACUUUGACGUUAAACUCGAUAGCUAAAUCGCGGGACGACUACUUCAACCAACUGUAGGCAUGGGCACAAUUUAACAAAUGUUACAUACGGGAUAAACAUAUAACAACAUAUGCAAGCGUGAAGAAUUUCGGAAGCUCACGAUGAUGUACUUAGACAAAGCGGAGGCACAAGCUCGUCCUUGGUUAUCAUCGUAUAUGUCGGAGGUAGCAAACGAUCCAUAUCAGCAAAAUCCCCUUCCCGACUUGACGGACUUGUUGUAAGGUUGGAGUCGAGGACGGAGUCGGGUAUGGCAUCAAGGGUGUCGUCAAGAAAGGCUUUGAGUGUCUGCAGUGUUCAAAGAUCACAUAAUUAAUGGAGUAGUUUGUACUCAAAACAUAACGAAAACACGGCAUCAGAUGUUUCCUGUUUAACAACGGUCGAUUCAUGUCAGUUGAACUUCUUUGUCUAGAGGAAACAAUGAGGCACAAGGGUGAAUGAUGAAGCUCAGCUGUAAGAGUGGGAUUAUGAGUUGAACAAACAGAUGCUUAGUGUUUCUUGUAUAUGUUGAACAUUAGACCAUUUAGCGAAAAACAUUAGAUCAUUCAAUGAAGAAAAAACAUUGUAGAUAUUCAAUAUCAACUUGAUGAUAUAAAGAAAUAAAGAAAUCAAUUUAAACCUAGUAAAGGAUAUUCAUCAUGUGUUGCAAGCACUUAUUUGUUUCUCGUAACUUCUUGUUAUCCUUUUAAUCUAUUCCUAGAAUUUUCCCUUAGAUAAUCUGACUGCCGGCAUGCUUUAAGGUUUGUUGUCUUGGAAGGUUUUCCUACAAAAUGUAACUGCUCAAAAAAUUAUCAAUAUGUGAAUAGUUUCUUAAAUCGACACUUACAAAUAACUAGCAAACGACAGCAAACAAAACUAGAAGUGAAAAAUCACUAUCCUGACCUCUCAGUCAAAGGUUCCAAGGUUUCAUGUUGUUUUGAUGAUUAAGAAUAAUUAUUUGUUACUAAGGAAUUUAUUCUGAGUGGAUGUUUAAGCACAUUUAUAUCGGAUGAUACAGGUCUAUAGAUGAAGGCUCACUGAAGCUUGCAAGAAUCAAAUCUAACAACGAGUCAUCUGACAGAUGUACAUUUGAAACAAAAGGUAACGUUCAAGUGCUUAAACGUCUUCGAGUUAAAUCUGAACUUAGGAAUUACUGGUCAUUGAUCUUUUCCAUUUUUCACUUUAGUGAUGUUUAUGUUCUGCUACAGUAACAGAGUACAAAUUAAUUUGGCGUGUAACUAUAGUUGUUAUGCAUCAGAUUGAGCUAUAUAUGGUUGAGUCUGGUAAGCAUGUGUUGGACACUAGGUGCAUGACCUGUUUCUUUGCAUAUUGCUACAUCUAUAUCUAUACAAUACAUGAAUUCUCAACCCUAAAGAAGCAUUUUGGGGCCAAGCUUUGCACCAUUUUUCACUUUGUUCCCUAACAUUUUUUUUUUUUUUGCAAUUGAGUUUCCAACCUCUUGAUUUCAUUGCAAGUAUGUCCCAACCGUCAAAAGAGAUUGUGAAAAUUAACGAAAUUGUCAUCUAUCUAUACAAUACAUGUAUUCCCAACCCUAAAGGAGCCCUCUCCUUAUUUUGGGGAGAUUGUGCAGCCCAUAUACAUUUUUAUUAAGGAUCAAUUGCACCAUUGGUCUCCAAGCCUUGCGCACCAUUUUUCACUUUGGUCCCUAACUUUUUUUUUUGCAAUUAAGUUUCCAACCUCUAGAUUUCAUUGCGAUGAUCUUAAAAUUAACGAAAUUGCCAUGUCAGUGUCUACUUGGCUUUCUUUCGAAUGUCAAUUUUGGCUCCUAAACUUUGUAUGUUUUUCACUUUAGUCCUCAAAAAUAAAAAUUUAAAUUUUUGAAUUUAAAUUUGGAAUUAAUAUUAAAAUUAAAAUUUUAAACUCACCAAAGAUUAGAAUUUUGAAUUGAAAUUUAAAGUUUGAAUUGAAUUGAAAUUAAAAUUUUAAAUUUCAAUUUUAAAUUGAAUCUAACUUUUGAUUUCAAGCUUAAAUUUUUUAUUUUCAUUUUGAUUUUGAUAUUUGAAUUUGCAUUCAAAAUUUGAAUUUGAAUUUUAAAUUUUAAUAUAUAAUUUAAAUUUGAAUUUAAAUUUAGACAAAUUAAUGGGGCCCAAAUACAUUUUUAUUAAAGAUCAAUUGCACCAUUGGUCCCUAAGUUUUGCACCAUUUUUUACUUUGAUCCCUAACAUUUUUUUUUUUUUGCAAUUAAGUUUCCAACCUCUUGAUUUUAUUGUGAUUAUGUCCCAACAGUCAAAAGAGAUGUAAAAAUUAACGAAAUUGUCAUAUCAGUGCCUACUUGGCUUUCUUGUGCAUCAAUUUUGGCCCCUAAACUUUGCAUGUUUUUCACUUUAGUCUCCAAAAAUAAAAAUUUAAAAUUUCGAAUUUAAAUUUGGAAUUAAUAUUAAAAUUAAAAUUUUAAACUCACCAAAGACUAGAAUUUUGAAUUUUUAUUUAAAGUUUGAAUUUGAAUUGAAAUUCAAAUUUUAAAUUUGAAUUUGAAUUAAUUUUAAAUUUGAAUUUUAAAUUGAAUCUAACUUUUUAUUUUAAGCUUAAAUUUUUUAUUUUGAUUUUGAUUUUGAUAUUUGAAUUUGCAUUCAAAUUUUAAUUUUAAUUUUAAAUAUAUAAUUUAAAUUUGUAUUCAAAUUUAGACAAAUUAUAAUAACUAGCUUUGAGCUAUCAAGUUGAUUUAUUGUUUUUUUAAUCAUCUCAGAUGUUUUUCUCUAUAAGAGGAGAUGUAAGAUAAUGGGACACUAGCGAGGUGCAUUUAAUACAUAUAUCCUUCUACUUUUAAUAAGAAUUAUGAUAAGUUCUCUAGCAAUAUAAUUAUGUUUUGUACAUCAAAGUGUUCAUUCAUAAAAACGACAUUCAAAUAUGAAUUAAGACUUAAAAUAGUUACUAUUGAUUAAUGGUGCUUGAUUGAUAAUGUGAAUAGUUUUUUUAUAUUUCUUUCGAAAUUAACAAAUUGAUGUUAUGAAAUGAGAAAAUUCAACUUUUGGAUUUCUUUUUUUUGGAUGAUUUUUUUGAUAUUAGUUUUUUCUCCAGUCAAAUAAUAUUCUUUGGUUAAUGCGAUUGAUAUUUUGCUAAUUCGCAUGCUAUUAAUCUUAAUCUUGAGCUAGAGAAUUUAUUUUUUCCUUAUAUAUAAUAUUAGAAUAUUUAUUUUGGUAGUUUAACUUUUUUGCAGUAUAAAAAAAUAUCUAUUUCAAUUUUCAAAUCCUUUUGAUUAGUCUUACUUUUUGGUGCUUCUUUUAAUUACCUAUUGAUUUUUUUCUAAUCGAAAAUUUAGGAAUCAAGUACUUUAUUAGUUGUAUUUAUAACAGUAAAAGUUAAUAAGAGCUUCCUUUCAUCGUCGACGACGCAAUAGGGAUGCUACUGCCACGGCUACCAAACAUAGUGCUUUCGCUCCAAUUAAUUUUUUAAUAUUUUUUAUUUGUAAAUUCUAUGCUAACGGUAAUAGAGAAAUAUUACUCAUCUUUUUUAAUAUUACAGUGAGCUUUUCUCUUAUUUUCAACUGGUUUAUUAAUUUUAAUUAUUUGGUUUAGAUAUUUUCAGAAAGCAAUAUACUUAGGUUCAUUCUUUAAUUUUUUUUCAAUACUGAGAUAAGUAAUAUUUAAAAAUGUUAAUGCACAUAAUUAACGAUAACUACAUAUGAUAAGUGGGUUUAUGUUCUUCGAUAAUUACGUAUUAUAGAUCAUUUUUUUGAUAUAAAUUUUAAUAUUAAAAUCCACAUUAAUCAACACUCCGUAACGACUAAUUAUAAUAAUGUCUACCCACCGCAUCGCGCGGGUUCCUUAACUAAUAUUACACAAUUUGAAAAUUGUACGCUAAAAUUCUACAUAAGUUCAACUAAAUCAUUAUAAUCUUCAUUAUACUCCUUUGAAUAAAAUUUUCACCUAGUCCAUGUUUGUUGGAGAAGUUGUAAUGUAAUCUUACACCGCCGAGCAUUUGAACCAUAAGGGAUCCGAACCAUACCGAACCCUGAGCUAGUCUGAUCCGAACCAAACUCAAGGGGGGUCUUGAAUUGAACCACAGAGUUUGACCCAAACCAAACCCAAAAGAUCUCUAACCAAACCAUAAGGGUUCAACCCAAAUCAAACACAAGGGGUCUCGAACCAAACCACAAGUGUUCAAACCCCAACCAAACUUAACCACAAGGGGUUCGACCCAAACUUAACCCAAGAAGUCCAAGUUGAGCCAAACCACGGAGGCUUGACCCAAAUCAAACUCAAAAGUGGUCUUGAACCAAACCAUAAGGGUUCGACCCGAACGAAACUGAACCAUAAAAGGGUCCAAGUUAGCCGAACUUUAAUAAGGGCUCAGCCGAAAUCAAAUUCAAAGGGGUCUCAAACCAAGUUAUAAGGGUUUGAGUCGUUUGACUUGAACCAAGUUAUAACGGUUUGACUUAAACCGAGUCUCAACAGGUCCUAAACCAAAGCACAAGAAUUUGACCCAAACCAAUUCAAGAAAGGCCUAAGCCGUCCCAACCCAAAUCUAAUAUAAAAAGGUCCAAACCACUUCAACCUAAACCCGACCUUAAAAAAGGAUCAGACCAUACUCCAGGAGCAAUCCAAAUCAAGCAAACCGGCUUCGCCCGAACUGAAGCAAAACAAGGAUUCAAACUGAGUUGAAAUCAAAAUAAUCGGCUUACAAGCUAAAAUCAACCGACCGAGAAGUCAUUAAACUAAAUGAACCCAACUACAAUCAACCGUCAUGUCAUUAAACUAAACAAUUCACAUACAACCCAACAACAAUAUCAUAAAAUUGACCAAUUCAAACAACAGUAUAGUCACUAAACGAAACAAGCCAAAUGACCGCCAUGUCAUAAAAACUAAGCAAUUCAAAUUCAAAUAACCACAAGUCAUUAAACUAAACCAACUCAACUCCAACCAUUAAACUGAGAAACCCAACUCCAACUGACUACCAUGUCGAUAAAUUAAACAACCCAACUCCAACUGACUGCUAUAUUAUUAAACUAAGCAACUCAACUCCAACUGACCGUCAAGUCGUUAAACUAAGCAACCCAACAUUUAACCGUCCGUCAUGUCAUUAAACUGAGCAACCCAACUUUAACCGACAGCAAUGUUAUUAAACUAAGCAACCAAACUUCAAUUGAACGCAAAUCCUUGACUUGAGCAUUUUACUUUUAUAAAAUUCAUGUAUAGUGAGGGGAUGCCUUUGCUUAAGCCGUGUUCUUCAAAAUUACAUCAAUAAAAUUCCCUUUUAUACUUCAGUCUCUUCAUAUUAGUCAACAUUUAAUUUGGUCUUUUAAUCGAGGGUGCCUUUUAACACUAUGAGUGUGGAAUGAUUAACAGCAAAUUCUUGAAUCAGCUAGAAGCUAUGAACCUACAAAAUCUGAUUUCAAACUCCAAUUUAAACAAAUUUGAUCUAUACCAUGAAUGAUCAUUCAACGAGAACAAGAUGCAGCAAGUCGGGCUGUUCGUGGCAGCACAAGUAGGUCUUUGGGCAGCCUGUUGGUAAUGAUUUUAGUUAAAGAUUUCCAACAGUAAACUUCUCUUUAUCUCUCUUUUUUGAUAUGGAAAGCUUCUCUUUCAAAAAAUAGAGAAAACUUGAUUACAUACUAUACACAACCAUGGUGCUAUAGAAUAUAGAACUACCCCAAAGGUCAUUUACUCUACCAAAUAACCAAAAAGCCAAAUACAUAAAUUGGCAAUGACAAUUAUUUAUUUAAUAAAAUCCCAGUCAACCAUGGACUAGUCCAACUAUAUAACUUGUCAUCCACACAUAAUCUCAGAUAAAUUUGAUAUCUCAAAUAGUUUCCAUUUUAAUCGAAAGGCCAAAUCUUCUUGUCCAUGGACUACGAAAGGCAAAUGAUUAGCAAUGGGAAGUGUUUGAGCCAGAAGUUAUCUAGAUUGUGAGUUAUUAAAUCUCUAAUUAUGAAAAUAUAGAUCGAAUCACAAGUAUAUGGACCAGAUUUUGAGAAGGCCGAGAAGCAACUUCCUUUUUUUUUGUAAGACAGUAAAAUGUGAAAGCUCUACAAAGAUGGUUCCUUCUAUGUCGUUGUUACCUAAGUAAGCAAAUCUUCAGAAAAUAGGCACUUUCUAUAUCAGCCGAGAAAAAUAAACGGAACCAUUUGAAGUAAUGAAGAAACAAGAAAACAAUAUCAUACACCAUGGUCGAUACCUUGCAAUGCCGCAAAGCAGCAUCAGCCUUGCGUUUCCAGAGGCCAUUUCCAGGUUCAGAAUGGAAUAGAUUCAGCAAUGGCUGUACCAUGUUGAAACAAUUAACAUUUGUUCUCAUAAAAGAGAAAAGUGUUUGUCAAAGUGUACAAACGACAUUAGAACGGCAAUAAACAGGAGUCUGCUUUAACUCAAGUUUACUUAAAUGGAGUAUAUAUUAUGACCAUAUCGAAUGUUCAAUUCACAUUCGUAUCCCUAUUAAACAAAUAUAGUUACAAAAACUUUAUUUGUAAUAGCCUCCAACAAGUAUGGCAGUAGCAUACAGAUUCACUCUGAAGAGGAAAACACAAACUAGUUUUGUAUAUAUUAUCUGAAAGUUUUAACUAACCUUCACAAGUUGUCUGAUAUUCGGUUUGUUGGGUCCAUAUUUCCCUAUUAUAGAGUCACCAUAUAUCUGAUAAUCUCCAAGGAUCUAAAAAUGUAGAUUGCUAUUAGAAGAAGCAAUAGGAAACGUUUAGAUUGAAAACCAUCCAGAUAAUUACUGACUCGGCGGCGUGUAAGAUUAGUACUUGGUACACCAUAUACUUCUUUGUCCACAUGUCCUAGGGUAAACCAUGGACUGCAAGAACUGGCAUUGUCAGUGAAAGCAUCAAAACAAAACAGCAUAAGAAUUAAAUUUCUACACUUUUUAAGUCCUCGUCAUAGUUUUAGUAUGAUUGACACAUUUAUUUUUCAUUAUUAGAACUAUCUUGUACACUAUAAGUAAAACGAUUAUGUGGGGCAUUUCUAUGCUUAAGUGGUUUACUAAGAAAUUUCUCAUAGGUCAUGAUCAUAGCAAUAACAAACUACAAUAUUGAAAUUGCUCAUUAAUUGAAGUAAUUCAAAUGGUAGAAUCAUCAGCUCUUCUAUAUUGUUCCAAACAUAGCCAGGAGAAUCAUGCACAAGUUCAAUCAGAAGACUAUGUAAGAAGAUAUCCAUUGAUAAUACUUCUAUAACUUAUGAGACCAAAAAAUUCACAGCUAAUACUUAUUGUAAGAAGCACGACCAACCAUGACCCCAUGAGCUCCCUGCCUUUUGGCUGCAUUAACCUAUCAUUUGACCAAAAAGCUAUCAUUAAUUUGAGAGUGGUAGUGAUAUGAGGACAUGCUCUUCGACAAGCAAGUGUAAAAUGAUACUGAACGGCAAUAAGUUUCCGAAAAGAUAGGAGGAAAAUUAGCAUGAAUCUGCAUAAAGAAACAGACAUUUUGUUCAAAGCUUUAGUGCAAUUAAAAUAUACAAUUCCAUUUCUUAUACCCAAUUCUAUUUCCUUUACAUCUUGGCCAGAAGUUUCAAUCAUUGUUAACUAAUACUGCUACGACAAAAAUGUAGAAUGUGAAUUACAUAGUAAAGAUAAUAACUUAAAACUCAUUUAGUUACAUUUCAGGAAAUAAGGUAUUUAACUUUAAUUGAGUCCCUCUUCUUUAAUAGGCUCAUGCUAGUUUACGGUAAUAGAUGUGCUUAUGCGAUGCCCUACAUGACACUUGUCUCACGAUUGUGCAGCUCCAUUGACGAAGUCAUUGCCCUAGUUUCAGAGUGUAACACCUAAUGGGUGCAUACUGAGUUUAGCAUAUAACACUCAACACGUUCUCUCUUCUAGCAUACGCAAUUAAAACUGUUGCAAAGAAUCAACAAAAUACCCUUCAAACUGCAAGUGUUUUGAAUAUUUAAAUGACAACAAUUAAAAAAAAUCUUAUCUUAGAAUACCUAUGAAGCACAAAUACUUUAAAUUCCAUGCCAUACCCGUAUCAGACACGUAUCCAAUACUGGUAUGUGCCCGAUACGUGUCCAAUACAGGAAUGAAGUAUCCAGAAUUUUUAAAAAAUUAAAAAAAUAUUAGAUACGGCUUGGAUACGGGAGGAAUACAAGGGGAUACGAGGGUAAUACGGCCGGGUUCUUUUUUGGUCUAAAAUGAUCGAAACUCAAAAUUUUCGAAAAGCCCACAUCCAAACCAUUGGAAAUAAGGAAAAGAGAGAGGAAAAUGUCAAUCCUUCUUCAAUUAUCAAAUCUUCUAUCUUUUUGAUCUUGAAUGGUUGAAGGAGCUCUCUCUCUCAUUCUAUCUCCGCAUAGCAUUAAGCUAUAAUUCAGUCGUUUACCACUUCUCUUUCACUUCCUUUCAUCUAAUUUGUCAACCUAGCGCUAAUCAACAAAGACCAUAUUUUCUUUUAUUAUUAUUUUAUAUAAUAGAACCUAAUAAAAUAGACAUAUAUGAUGAUCGGCUAAUUAUCUAGUUUACGCGACUAAAUAUCUAUUGGUAUGCUGAUAGUUGGUUUAUACUUUUUGAAUUAUUAUUUCAUGCAAUUGAUUAUCUUUUUUUAUGAACAGAUAUAGAACAAUUACACAAGUUAAUGUAUAUCAACAUAUACUCCUUAAUAUAAUCCAAAUAUCUUGAUUGUCCUCAAUAUAUUAUUACAUAUCAUCAACAUAUAUUUAAAUAUAUUUAAAAUAAUAAUUUAUUCAAGUAUACCCCACGUAUCGCAACCUAGAAGUUUUAGGAAUUGACGUAUCACCGUAUCCGUAUCGUGUCGUAUCCAUAUUUGUGCAACAUAUUAGAAUGCUAAAACCUCCUCCAAAGUUAUUGUGAUUCUCUACUUCACGACUUUGCUAGAAUGAAAAUUUACCUGAUUAGUACAAGUUAUGCCUCCAUUCAGAGUAAAUUGCACAUCUGGAAAGUCACGCAAUAGAGCAAAAUAGUACUCAUAUCUGUAAAAUGUUCCAAUGAUGUUAAAUUAAAAAUUCUAAGAAAUUAAUCUAAAUUGAAAUGGUAGCCCUAACACUUUUAGGAUUCUCUUCCAACUUUUUCAUGCUCCCAAUGCAUUCUAAUUGCUAUAAAUAAGUAAAUAGAACAAAAUGUGAUUAAUCACAACACAUAUCAAGUAGCAUAUUUACUAUGUUACAAACUGUCAUGUUUCUGAGCAUAUAUUUCUUGCAAAUUGAUGUGGUGUCACUUGACCAUGACAUAGAGAUAUAUGAUUAUUAAAUUCACGAUGGACAAAAAUAAAAUUUUCCUUUUUCAAAAUUUUGAAUUACCUAGGAAGACGGGGGACUUCUUUAUAAAAACUAAUUAUUCAUCCUAAGAUCAAUCAUGCUAAAAUCAAGGAAUAAUUCAUGUAAAUCAAAGGGGAAACUCUGUUUUACCAUGAUCUCUACGUCCUUUGAGUAUACUUUUACAAUUUACCAAGAUCGUGGAUGUGCCUUGAUAUAAAGAACAUGCUAGUGCUGCAUAACCCUAGCGGCAAGGUACGUGCUAGUCAACAUGAACUGGCACAAUCGGAAUAUACCAUCCUUGCCAAGAUCUUCCGCUAUUCUUUGAAUACGAUUAGUCAUCAUAAUUUACAAGUUGUUUUGUUGAUCCCAAAUUUUCACUUUCAUUACUUCAUUAGUAAUUUCGACAACUAUGUCCCGUUUUACUAUCUAAUCAUCCAACAUCAUACCAGUAUAUCUUAGUCUUUUUCUUUCAUGGUACUAAGUAAAUGUAUGAUAACACUUACCUACAUUGCGUAAUUAAGCUCCCAGUACAACUUUACAAUCUUUACAUAUCAAUUAUUUAUUUAUCUAGUAUACAAAAUAGCCUAUUUGGUUACAAUCAAUACAUUUCUGACUAAUGAUCAUCUCAUCUCUUAAAAGCAAUAAUUUUGCACUCAGAAGAUCAUAGCCAGAAAGCAAGAUUCACUCCCUGUCCCCUAUUUCAUUCUUUUGUUAACAUGCGAGGCCUUCAUGCAUUCCAUCAUAACCUUCUCUUUCUUUUUUCAUGUGACCAUUGAAUCUGAACCUACGUUUUAAAUUUUCUCUUGCAAGUAAUAUUUGAAUUAGUUCAUCCAUCUAUUCCCCGAAGUUCUUGUCCGAUUUGAUCUAGUAAUCAUAUUGGAGGUGUAAUCACAAAAGUGUUAAGAACUUUUGUCCUUAAAAAAGUUUGAAUUUCUUGCAUAAUCCCAAAAAUCUUUCAAUAUUGCAUAUAAUUUCAUGAAGGACUUGCUAUUUGACUACUAGUCCCUCAAAUCAUUAUGAGAUGUGCAUAUUUGAACUUAGUUUAUCUCUAAUAGCAUGUUUGAUGGAUAUUCCAUAAAGUUUUACUUAACAGUGCUAGUUUUUAACACAAAAUCACCAUUUAGAUAUUUAUACCUUUAAAACUCUCUCACAUUUAUGAAAUGAUGCUAUUCAAACAUAAGCUGAAAAUCUCAAGCACUUGCACAAUUGCACCUCUCUUACUCCUUUUAGAUUCACCCUUCAAGAGACACUUGAACAUGGUCAACAUUCAACUAACUAGUACUCAAAAUUAAAUGCAGAAAUUAACUAGCGUCAAAGUCAAAGUUUGAAGCAUUGUAUUUCUUAAAUAGAUCCUCGCACAUAGAUGGAUUAGAGAGUAUAGAAAAGGAGGAAAAAUGGAUUAAUUGGAGGAGAUUUUGAAGAGCCAAAGAUUUUGGGAAGAGGAAGAAACCUAUGGGCAAAAUGGGCAUAUAAAUUCAUGAAGUUAACUGCCAUGGUGAAAUUUGACAAGAGUAAUAUGCAAAAUGAUUUUGAAGGACUGGAGAUUUGGGAAGAGGGAGAAUCCGUGGUCACCAGCACUUGGUGCUAAAGGGGCAAAAACCAGCACAGCUAAUCAUUAUUGCUUUUUAUGCAAACAUACUAUUCAUUUCCGAUGAACCCAUUACAUCUACAAACUCAAGCACUUGCCAAUAAGGGUGGGGAAACCAAGUUCUUAUUAGUUCAUCGUUUAAUGUCUUCCAAGCAAAGACAACACAGCUAAUCAUCAACUAAAUUGUCCUUAGUUAACUGUUUACUCUUUGAAAUGUUUAGUAGGAUAUGUGACAUAGGAAUAUAUAUAGUGUAGAUGUAAAGAAUGGUAAUGACAAGUAAAGCGAGUCAAUAAACAUGACCAGCCAUUGAAUACAAUAAAGCAGAGAGUAAAAUGCGUAAAUGUAUGUUCAUUUGCAAUGCUUCCUAUGGAAAACUUCAUUGUAAUACCUCCCGGGGAGAAUUGCUACGUAAAACAAAAAGUAUUUUUCAACUUAGCGGGUAGUAUACGACUUCCGCUUGAUCUGCUAAUGAACAUAUCUAUUAAAUAAAAUAGGGCAUAAACAUCAAAAGAUACCCAAGGCAUCAAAAGCGGAAACAUACUUCAAAGGUGGAACUUGGCGAUUCUGAGCAGGACUUAGGCCAUUGAGCAAUGCCUUCCGCGCAUGUAUGAUAAAAUGCCUAGUCGAUGAUCUAGAAACCACUGUGUGUACAAACUCACCUGGGAAAAGAAUAUCAUAAGAAUUUUUUUACCAACAAACAGACAUAAGAAUGAAGUUAUGAGGGCUUUUACAGAUAUAUAAACAUGUAAUAACUUUCGCAACUUACCUAUUAAUUGAAAUUCUAGGAUUUACCUGUAACGACCCGACCUGCUAGCAAUAAUAACUCGUUGGGCCAAAACCACCGGCCCAAAAUGCUUAAACCCAGUUAUUAUUACUAGUGUAUAGGCCUUAUAUAUUCUAAUCAGAAUCAUUUUUUCAUCCGAUAUGGGACUAUGGGGGCAUUACAAACUUUCCCUGUUUAGACCCUGACGUCCUUGUCGUGUCCAAAUCAAAUCACAGAUACAGAUUAGAAUUACCAAGCGAUGUGAGAUUUUAGAGGUGGCUCCUACGGGUUCAAAAGGUAGCUCCCACUAAAUCCGUUGGUGUAGCACUUUGCCCCGCAUAGCACUUAGCUCUCACACUUCUAGCUGGUAUUCACCUCUGAUACUAAAUAUAACGAUCCGACCCGCUAGCAAUAAUAACUCGUUGGGCCAAAACCACCGGCUCAAAAUGCUUAAACCCAGUUAUUAUUACUAGCGUGUAGGUCUCAUAUAUUCUAAUCAGAAUCAUUUUUCCAUCUGAUAUUGAACUAUUGAGGCAUUACAUUACCUGCAACCUUAAUUGUUAGGUUUGGCUAAUGUUUGGUUUUACUUAGCAGAUUACACAUAUUCACCCUCUUUAAUAUGUUAGUAGAUUGUUACGCUUAAAAGAAUUUUAAUAUAUAGUUCUCGCAUCUUUUAAGAAUUAUCCUACAAAUAGAACAAACAGAAGAGAGAACAAAUAAAAGAAGUUUAUAUCCAAGAUGGUGCUAAAAGGAAAGUAUUUCCUCAACAUCAUACUGAAAAAAUGGGAGAGUUAAGGAAGCCUCACAAAGUUCUUCAUAUGAGUCCCGGUCAUCCACUCCUAUUCUGCAUUUUACACUGACAGGUACAUCACAAUUGGCAGCAAUAGCUGACAUAGCAUCCCCAACAAACUAUAGGAAACCAUAUGAAAUAAGGUUAUCAAUCAUAAAAUGUCUCGUUUACUGGCAUUCAGCUCUGCUUACAAUCAUCAAAAAACCUCGGGGUCAAACAUUAGACGCGCUCCAAAGCAACCAUGACCAGCAACUUUCCCGCUGGGGCACCCACAGCUGAAACAAAUCAACAAAAACUAAGGAUCAUAGAAAAGAAAAAGUAAUAUAUCAACAACAUACAAAAGGUGAGAAGUUUGAUACAAACUUUAAAUUGAUCUCAUCGUAAGAAUAAGUGCUAGCAAGUUCUGUUGCCUUUGCCAAGUUCUCCAAAUUACUACCACCAAUUUGUAGAACAAUGGGGUGAUGUUCUGGAGGGAAUGCUAGGAAUCUAUCCUGUAUAUGUUACAAAAAUAGAUUAGUGGAGAAAUUAUUAUAAUGGCGAAACACUGGGUUUGCAUACAGUAUAACCAUAAUUCUUUUACCAGCCUCAAACAGAACACACCAUACCACUACUAGCAAGGCCAAGUAACCCAUCUCAUGGCUCCAGAAAGUCUAUCUAUCACAUAUGUUAGAACUUUGAUAAAAAAUAGAAAAUAUUUUGUUUCAUAAGUUAGUUAAACAUGUAGGCAUGAGAAUAAGCACUUCUAAGCAUAGUGUGCUCACACUCUUUCCAUUUUCUUUAAUUUGAUGAAUGGCAGCAUAAACAUUUUGCGUAUCCACUUGAUAAAUAUACUCCUAAUUUUAGUCAUGACAUGGGUUUAUCAUGGAUCAGUAGUUGAGAAAUAAUCAAGAUUUUUUUUUAGUUGAGAAAUAAUCAAGAUUUCUUUUUAGUUGAGAAAUAAUCAAGAUUUUUGCGCAUGCGUGUGUGCGCGCACACGCAUCCCUACCCACACCAAACUCUAUCCCAACCCUGACCCCAAGGGAGGCAUAAUGCCUCCAAACAUUUUGCAAAUCCCAGUAAUCAAUCUAAUCGCCAAGCCAAAGAUGGUUAGUAGGUCUCCCCAUAUUAGUAGGCUAAGACUUGAGACUUACAAAUUAUGCUUACCUCGUCCAAAUGUUAAAGAAAUUUGAACUCCUGUGAUUUCAUAGGGCAGAUUAGGCUUACUUAACAGUCGAUAAUACAUUGCACAGUUAAAUUUGACUUCAAAAGCUUUUUCAAUAAGAUGUCAUAAUUAAAAACAACAGACAAACACUGUGAAUACUAUCAGAGAAUUCAGUAUAACUUGGGCGUAGGAGUAUAAUCAACCAUAUGAAAAAUCACAGUAUUAAGUUGUAGUAGUUGCUUUUACCAAGUUAUCUUUCUGAUGAACAAUGGUUUCUGCAACGACCAUCUCCGUGUAUAGCCAAGCAUGUUUUGAUAUCAGUCGUGCAAGAGUUCUGAAAUGAUUAUCUGUCCAAUCCAUCAUAGGCGCCACACUGCAAAGUAGGAUAACAAGCAUUCUAAUCAAGCCAACAACAUCACAAAAUGCUCAUAUCCCAACAAUUUUAAUACUGAUGUGCGUCGUUUGCACCUGAACCAAGGAGGAAGAUACUCUGCAGCUGUAAAACGUUUUUCUGAUUGCCUUUGAUUUUUGCAACCAAGUGAACAAAAUCUUUUAAACCGAAGACAAAAUCCAUUGAAACCUGUAUAGGAUUUGUUGCAAUAAUUACUGAAGCUUUUGAAAUGAAGAGGAGCCACUGUAGAAACCAAGCUAAGGCUACACAGAGUGGACUUCAUCACUCUGUUCGAUUCAUUAAUCUCAACAUCUCUCGUGUCAAACCUGCAUCAAUCACAUGACAAAAACUUGUCAACGAGUAUAUUAAGUAAAGAGAACCUAUAAAGUUAGUAUGCUAUUUAGCCAACGUACAAUCACAUCAUUUGUUGCAGCUUGAACCAUUAUAGUCAUUAACCAGAAACAAGAUUAAGAAUAAGAUAAUUAUUCUUAACGAAACUUCGAAGAGAACAUAGAGGUAGAUGUAAUUCUACUAUACAAGCAUGUUGGACAUAAAGUUGAAGUAAAGAUAAACAAUUAGAUAAAUUCAAUAAAGCAAAACUAGGCAUCAGGAGCGCAAAUACACACUAUUGUCUCUAAAUAUAUGGUAGUUUCAACUAUAAUUGUUUCGAUUAAGGCACUGAGCCUCAACUUAUCGUGAAGAUGGCAUGGCUUUAUUUAAUCUCCUAAAUACGCCGCAACUGCUGAUUUAGCUGUCAAAGUAGUUCUAUGUAAGAUGUGAUAAUUAAAUAAUAAAUAGUCUUGAGACAACGUAGAAGAGCUGAACCAAGUCCUUGUCAUUUAUAAUGAAUUUGAAAUACGGCCCAAAUGAAACAAGGAUUAAAGUUUUACUUCCUAAUUCGAGCAAACAGAAGCGCAAUGACCUAAAUGAAAUUUCAUCAUAAGUUCAAUGACCAAUGGCGAAAUACAUCCAGAACCAAAAUUAUCCCAAGGUUCUUCGCAAAACUCAACAACUCAACCAGCAAACAAUUUGAGGGUUCUCAGUUCAAAUUGAUCUGAGUUUCUGACACAAGACUACGAAAGAACGGGGAAAGAAUGAGGGACAUAAAAAAAAAAAAUGUGAAAAAAAAAUUAAAAUUAAAACAAGGGCUUGAUGUUAGUUAGGUACUGCUCAGUACUCGUAAAUGGAAGACGAGCCCGCUGCCGGCUGCCCCCUGCUAAUCCUAGUGAAAGUCCAUCACUACAGCUGCGGAGGGCGGCUGUAAUAUCCGUGGAGCAGAAAGGUAAGCAGGAUUUGGGCUCGGGAUUUGGUCGGCCUUGGCUGGCAGGCCCAAAACGCCAGCUCAAUAGCAUGCCAGGCUGCAAUCUGGCCUUGGUCGAAUUUCGCUAGAAAAAUGCUCUCCAUGUAGAGAUGUCGAUAGGUAUAUCGGAAAUUUUAUCUGAAUCUAAAUCCGAACAAAACGGAUUUAUCUUAUACUAAACGGAUAUAGAUAUCAUAAACAAAAAUUCAACAAAUUUGGAUUCGGAUAUGAAUUUUAACUGUAACUGACCCGAACCGAAUUGAUUUUGCAUUAUAUAGUAUUUCUAAAUGUUUGAUAUUAUAUUUGAAUUUGUAUUUUAAAAAAAUAGAUUUAGUAUAAUAUGUUGUGAAAUAUUGUAAAGAGAAAUAAUUGUUUCGGCUUCAGAUUUUCAGAUUCGGGUUCAGAUUCGGGUUUCAAGUUUGAUAGCCUGAUUCGGAUUUGAAUUUUUAAAAAUCCACUUCUAAUUCAACCCGUCGACAUCUCUAUCUGCCCCAACAUUUUGUUAUAAAAAGCAUACCUUACGUCUCAUAAUACAAGAAUUUAAAAAAAUUAAAAUGUUUAUUAAUCAAAGAAUAAUUAAUAAAGCAAGUGAAAAAAUUAUAGCCUUUUAAAAGGUAGGUGUAAGAUUUGAACCAAAUAAAGGUCUCACAUCUUUUGGCCAUGCACAAAAAGGAUUUUUCAAGUGAUGUUAUUAUCCAAAAAGGAAUUAUAGUUAAGUAGGAAAUGUUUUGAGCCGUACACAAAGAUUUUCUACUGGUGGCUGAGUUGCAUUCUAGAAUUUUUUGAUGCGAGGAAUUCUACACUGUCACACUUGCACCACGUCAUUAAUAACAAGUCAAUCACAUUCCUUCUUUUCAAACAAAAGUACAAUAAAAAUACUUUUUUACAAUCAUGAUGGGACAUAUAUUCUUAAAAAGAUUAAUUUGAUUGGUUUGUUACGCCACGUCAUUUAUAUACCCAUUGCAUUCUAGAAUUUUUCGAUGCCCUUGGCAUGCUCAUGCGAUUAUGUACUUGACACAUUCAAAGAUUUCCUCUUCUUUUUUCUUUUUUUUUGACAGAGAGAGAAAGAGAGAGAGGAGAGAGAGAGAGAGGUAGUAUGUUACUCUGUUCGUUAAUUUUUUUAGAAAUAAGUUUAGCUGAAAAUGUGGCUUCAAAUUUGAGGCUUCGGAUACCAACCAUCAAAUCUUUUGUCACUUGCAUUAGGGGACGCUUCGAAUUUGGGACACAUUCAGGGUGUGUUUGGUUCGAAGUCGGAGCCGGUAUUGAAAUCGGAAUGAAAAUAAGCUAGAAACAGAAUCGGAAUAAUUCAUUACUUCAUUUUGUUUGGUUUGCCACCUAAAUUGGAAUCAGAAUGAAUUAUUCCCAUUGUCGGUAUUUAGUUCAAAUAGAUAUCUGAAACGUAAUCAAAUUAUUAUGUCAAUUUUAUCUUUAUAAUAUAUUAGUUUAAAUUCAAACUGAAAAUUAAAUAUUAAAAAUUUACGUCAAAAUUUUCAAAUAAUGUCAAAAUUUUAAAUAUAUUUUUAUUAAGAAAAUAAAAUUUGAAAUUUAAUGGAUAAUUCAAAAUACAAAACUAAAAUUUGAUUAAAAUUUGAAUAAAACUUUAGAUUUUAAAUUAAAUUUNAAAUUUAAAUUCAAAUUUAUAAAUUAGAUUCGAAAUGCUUGAUUGAAUUUUAAUUUUUAAUUUAAGUUCAAAUUAAAAUUUAAAUUUAUAAAUAUAAUUGUUAAACUUAAACUUAUAUUUUAAUUAAAAAAUAAGUUUUAAAAAAUUAAAUUUAAUUCGAAUAAAUCCAUUCCGCCCUAAUUCAAUUUCCAAUCCGGCCUUCUAGGCCGGAUUGGAAAAAUGGGUAAUUGGGGGAUUCCCGUUCACCUCGGAAUCAAAAUCGAAAUGAGAAUCCUGUAUAUCAAACACAGACAAACGAAUUCGUCCAUUCCAAUUCCGAUUUUAUAGUGAAAAAGGAGCGAACCAAACAUGCCCUCAAAGAUUUUCAUGUUACCGGCAAACAUCUUUCAAAAUUGUUUGGCUAAGUCAUGCAAGUCUAAAAUUUACAAUACAGAAAGAAAGUUAUUCUUUUGUUUGAAUUUUUAAAAAUAUGUUUGUUCAGAGAUCCCCUUCAUAACUAUAAUUACGUUAGAAGCUAGACUAAGGAAAUAUAUGUAUAUUCUCAUCUAGAUAUUAUUUAGCCAAAGGAUGUGAACUAUAAAAGGGAUUUGGAGGCUGCAAGUGUGCCCCACCUCCUGCCCCAUUUUUGUUGGCGGAUACGCACGGAUUCAGGUAGUUAGGGGUGGAAACGAGCCGAGCUCGAGCGAGCUUAUGUCAGCUCAAAUUCGGCUUGAAAUUAAUUUCGAGCCUAAAUCUAGGCUCAAGCUCGGCUUGAAAUUAAUUCGAGCCGAGCUCGAGUGAGCCUAAUUUCGAGUCAAGCCGAGCUCGAGCUCUAAAUGAGCCGAUUGAAAUUCUAGACAUUAUAUAAUCAAUAGUUUAAUUUUUAUAGAAUAUUACCUAUAAUUUGAUGCAACAUGUUCAAUAGUUCAAAAUACAAAAUAAUUGUAAGAAAUGUGAGCUAGGGUGACUGUCUAACUGGGUGAGGGUCAGAGUGAUAGAGAGAGAGAGAGAGAGAGAGGGGAAAAAAAAUUAGGGAUUUGAAAAUUUGAAUGUUAUCAUGUUUUAGGAUUACGUGCAACAGUAAAAGUCUGAAAGAGAGAGUGUGUUAUGUAAUUUAGAAUUGGGCUCAAUUACACGGUUGUACUUGUUGGGUUUAUUUUAUGGGCCAACAAUAAUGGCCCAAAUUAAAUUAAAGCCUAUAUAUUAUUAAAAUACAUUAUAUAUAUAUAUAUAUAUAUAUAUAUAUAUAUAUAUAUAUAUAUAUAUAUAUAUAUAUAUAUAUAUUUUUUUUCGAGCUUUUCGAGCUUAAUUCGAAUGAGCCGAGUAAUACUCAAGCUCGGCUUGAAAUGAAUUUCGAGUCUUUUAUUUUGUUCAAGCUCGGCUCAUUCAAUUUCGAGUUGAGCUCGAGCGAGCCGAAUAUCGAGCCGAACACGAGUCGAACGUGAGCCGGCUCGCUCGUUUGCCAGCCCUACAGGUAGUUGACUCUUAUUCUCUUAUUUUAUUUUUUGUCCGUACUUACAGCUCUAAUCGAGACAAGUCAUGGCAGAAGGGUGCUUUUGCACAUUGUGCGUAAAUUGUGACAAAUCAAGAGAGCAAAAGGAUUUCUCACCUCCUGGUUUACUUGCUUAACAGAUCAGUGCGGGUUCUUUCUUUUUUUUUUUUUUAGCCUCAAUUUACCGCUCCACUUGGAAUAGCUCGGAGCAAAAGCUUCAUCAACCUGGAUCCAUUUGCAUCCCUAGGCUAGACAGGAAUAAAGAAGCUAUCCAUUCUAAAAAUCAAACUAAAUUGGCACAUUAAACCGAUUGGCCCGUGAAGUCUACCAUCCAGUCCAAUGCUAUCAAGGCUGCAUUUAGUUCGAAAACUAAAUUAUCAAUUAAAUUUUAAAUCAAUUUUUGGAGUCUCUAAAAUUAGAAAUUUGAUUCAAAAAAUCAAAUCAAAUUUCAAUAAAAAAAAUUACUAAACAUUCUAUUGAAGAAAAACUUAUUUUUCGUCAUAAAAUCACUUCUAAAAGCUAAGCCAAAUACCCGGUUAAACAAUGAGAACUCUCAACUAUAGGCCACUUUGGAGUAGGCCUCUAAACUUUGUUUCUUGACAUGUCGCUAGUUUCUUAUAUAUUUUUUAUUCAAGUAAAUUUAAAAAUAUUGUUAAAAUUAAUAAUUUAUUGUGUAUUAGAUAUCGAUAUUUAAAUUUUAUUAGAUAAAAAAUAAUGAAACCACUAAAUUUGAUAGAAUCAUUAUAAAUUUAUUUGAUUAAAAUCAUUUAAUUUAGACCUGUUUGGAAACUCUGGAAUUUAAUUCAGAGUUUUUUUUUUAGUGGUGGAAGACUUGCUCAAACAACAGUACUUAAAUUAAAAAAAAGUUUGAAUUCAAAGAUUUGGAGUCACUUUAAAUUUCUCUGAGCUUUUUUUUUUGUAAAAAAAAACGUCAUCUUUGCAAAGAGAGAAUUAGAGAUAAAUGGUCAAGAUAAGUUCCUCUAAUUCAAACUUGCGUGAACUUAGAACUUGCACAAAAAACAACACUACUUCAAACAAAAAAACUCUACAUUUUAGACAUUUCUUUACAAAAAGAUAUCUCAUCUUUAGAGAGAGAGAGAGAGAGAGAGAGAGAAAGAGAGAGAAUUAGAGAGAGCAGGAGUGAAUGACUAAAGAUGCUUUCUCCCCACUUUACUCUAAAAAUUUCAGAGAUUUGACUCCUUUUUCUUUUUUUAUUUUUUCUUUUGAGAGAAAAGUAGUAUAUUGCUUAUUUUGUUCAUUUUUAUAUAAAUAAACUUUACUGAAAAUGUAAAACAAUUAGGCUUCGAAAAUUGAGAAUUUGAAUACCAAUCAUCAAACUCUUUGACAUCUGUGCAAAAGACGUUUGGUAGCUUCUAUUCAUUAUUUAUUCUAAAAUUAUGUAGGAAUGAAAUUAUUCAGUUACAUUUUGUAUUUUGUGAGACCCUAGAUAGUCUUAUAUAUAAGAUAUAAUAGGGCUAAACUUUUAACCCGGCUUAAGCAUUUUGGAUGGUGGCAAGGCCCAAGAGGUUAAGAGAGUUAAGCGUGUUAGGACGGGAGUAGUCCUAGGAUGGGUGACCCCCUGGGAAGUCGGGGCGUCACAGUUGGUAUCAGAGCCAAUUACCAGCCGGAAGUGUGAGAUGAGUCUCGGCUGAGCCAGGGUCUGGAUGACAAGGCUAGCGAGACGAGUCUCACAUCGCCUGGUACUUGUGAGUCUGAGCCUGACGAGUACGUCAGGGCUUAAAGGAGGGGAGAUUGUGAGACCCCAGAUAGUUCUAUAUAUAAGAUAUAAUAGGGCUAAACUCUUAACCCGGCUUAAGUAUUUUGAGUGGUGGUAAGGCCCAAGAGGUUAAGAGAGUUAAGCGUGUUAGGACGGGAGUAGUCCUAGGAUGGGUGACCCCCUGGGAAGUCGGGACUUCACAUAUUUUUAUAGAAGUUAUCUGACCGGUACUUCUAGAUAAAAGAUACAAGUACUAAUCAAAAUGCCUUGUUUGGGGGAAAAAACAAAUCCACUUUACAAGGUUCUCAAACAGGGUCUUAAGCUAUUUUUCAUUUUACCCCAAAAUAACAUAGGAUUAGGGUUGUUUUGUUGAAUUAUAUUUUUCCGUAAAAACUAUCCAAACAACUGUUCUCGAAAAAAAUAUAUAAUACUAAUCCAAAUUACCUUGUUUUGAAUAAAUAAUCCACUUUUACAAGAUUCUCAAAUAAAACCUAAAAUAAAAUAAAAAAAACUAAAGGCGUUGGUUGGCAUUAAUACUUUUUUUCUAUAUUUAAAACACUAACCUGUAUAACUUGAUAUUUUGAUGGAAAUACGCUUUUUUGCUGCAAUGGUUGAUUACUUUGCAAUGUACCUUAGCUCAAAAACAUAUGACAACGUUUUCAAANAAAAAAAAAAAAAAAAAAAAAAAAGCAAAAGAGUUGCUCAUGUCUUUUUUUUUUUUUUGUUGCUAAACAAAUAUUUUGAAUGUAAAAAUCACAAACAAUCGAAUCAUCUACUUCUAUACUUUUUUAUACAAAUCAAUAAUAAUAUUCUAGGCAUCACGGACACGGACACACGAUACAGGACACGGCACCACUCGGACAUGGCGAUUCGGUAGUUUUCAAAAAAUUAGGAUACGAAUACAACAUGGACACCGCUAAUAAAAUAAAAAUAUUAUUAACAUAAUAGUAUAUAUAUAUUUAUUUUAUAUAAAGUAUUAAUUUUGUUAAAAUAAUAAAAAUUAAUUAAAUUCUUAUUGAUAGUCCAUACAUUUUAAAGAAAAGCAAUUCUCCAUCAUACAUAAUUUACUUAUAUUAUUCAAAGAAUAAUACGCAUUCAUAAAAAAAUUAAAAUAUUUAUCAUCUUUUAUUAGAUAUGAAUAAAAGAAAGCAAAAUAAACAUAAAUAUUUUUUUUUCAAUGAGAUGCACUAUGAAUCCGUACCAAACAUGCGUUCAAGGCGUGUCCACGUCAGACACGAGUCUAGCAUGGACACGCGCGUGUCUGACAUGAACACGCGAGAUUUAUAGAAGUGUUCGUGACACAUAAAUAAUACCUAACGCGGCGUAAAAGGGUGUCAUUGAAAAGAGCUUAUAAUUGAGGGGGUCUUCAAACAUUUUUACCUCAAUAAAAGAAGGCCAGCCCCAAGCACCCACCAAUAUAUAAAUGCAGUAGGUAUUAUGUUACAUUAGUGGCAAUGCUCGAUCCUAACAGUAUUAAACUGAUAAAGAUAGGAGACAAGGAUGACAACCCAGCAGAUCAUCAACGGUGGCCUGCAGCCAACCCGGCCCCCUUCUAAAUUUAUAUUUAUUUCAACCAGUUGUAUGGUCUACUUUUUGGAUAGAGCAAAAGAACCAGUUCCAUCCCAUAAUUGGGAGGAGUCAUGCAUUCCAAAUCUAUAUAAGAGAAAUUUUUUUCCACACUUGGUGUAUAAGUUUCCACAUCUCUGUAAUAGGGUGUUUCCAAAUCAAAAUCUAACUUGCUGAAUGUGUUCUUUAACAUUUUAAAAAUCCGCCGGAGAUGAAAUGCGAAGCUAUAUUUUACCGUUAAGUCUGUGUACAAUUUGAUCAGAGAUGGGGGUGUCCAGGAUAAUCUUCUGCGAAAAUUCUGGGAUUUAAAAUUACCGUAUAAAGUUAAAAUCUUUAUUUGGUUAGUUCUUAGAAAACGCCUGUCUACAGCAAAACGAGGUUGGUUUAGAAAUCAACAAUGAUUAUGUAUAGUUGCGAAGUUGAGACUGUCGAUCAUUUACUGGUGGGAUGCGUACUUAGUAGAUUUUUAACAGUCAACAUCCUAAAAAAUAGAUAUAUUUUGGGUUCUAUAACAGAGGUCAGGGGUGUAUGGAAGCUUCUAUUCGGAAACAAAGCAAAAAAUAGCAGCAGUAAAGGAUCUAAUUUUAGUUGCUGUAUAUUAGUGGACGAUUUGAUAGAAAAGAAACAAUAUAAUUUUUAGAAAGUAAUCUUUCGACCCUUUAGGGCCUGUUAUACAAGUGUAAGAUGUGGGAAAGAAAUAUGUUGAAUUUUAACGAACCAAGUGACAGAUUUGAUUUUGAAUUGUAAUCUCGCUGCAUUUUAUUUCUAUUUUUUUUUUAUUUUUUUUUUCUUCAUCCGUCGCCUUUAACUUUUUCGUGAUCCUGAUGCCUCAAUUUCUAUAGUUAAAUUUAUUUUUACCGAAUGAAUAAAGCGGAUAGCAUGCUAUAUUUAUCUCAAAAUAAAUAUUUUAAACAUCCACGGAAUAAAUAAUUAUUGAGACUACUUGAUUCUUAAAUAGUGGCUCUUUAAUCUUUAUGAUUUUGUACAUACAGAUUCUUUAGAAAAUGUAUAACCACACAUCUAUUGGAUUGGGUUUGAUUAUAAGAUAUUGAUAGCUAAAAUUUAGGUUCGGUGCAUGAGAUGUGUGUACAGCAGAUCCAGGCAACAGUUUUCCAAAUAUAGAAGGGGCUUAUCAUUUUUUAGAAGCACACGUACCUACCGACCGUCCAUAUCGCAAAUGACAAUAAAUUUGAUGGUUGAUACCGAGAUUUCAAAUUUGAAUUUUAAUUGAUUCACGUAUUCAGCUAAAUUUAUUUUUUAAAGAAAUAGACGAAGCACGUAGUAUGCUACCUUUGGCUAAAAAAAACAAAGAAAUAUAUUCGUAGGCUAUUUAAUUAAACAAAUACUAGUGAUUAAUCUAAAAGAAGAGUAUAGAUACAACAUUUCUAUUCAAAAAUUUAAAAAUUCUUUGAUUAUUAUUGAAAUAUCCCAUUUUGCUUUCUAAAUUUUUUUAUUCAAAAAAUUAAAUUAUAGAAAAAUAUUUUCUAUAAUUUUUUUGACUAAGUUAGAGAAAACUCUCUGUCAAUACAUUUUUUUUUACUUUUCCCUUCUGUCAUUAAAAAACUUAUAUUUUACAUCAUUAAAAAAUAAAAAGUGUUCACUUUGAUCUCCGCGGUUAGUGUUUCAUUAUAUCUUAUUUUUUAUACCCAAAAUAUUUUUGAAAUACUCAUCCACGCCCACACAUAUAUCCUCGGCCGCCGCCUCGCCUCGCCCACCCCUCUGUCCAUGUCCAGACACACACUCUCGCCCUCUUUUGCCGCCGGGAUGAGCAAAAUUGGGAAGGAGGAGAAGAAAAAGAUAAGGAUAAUUUAAUUAUUUUGUCACAUCGUAUUUUUCUAUGAAUAUUUUUUAUUUUUUAAGUGAACAAAGUAUAGAUUUUUAAAUAAAAAAGUAGAUAUUGACAGAAAAAUUUUAUGUAACUUUGCCUUUUUUUUUUUUUCCCGGAAAGUUUUCUUCAAAUUUAGAAGAUCCAAAGAUUCCAAACGCCCUCGGAGGGCUUGCAACCUCGUAAGGACCUCGUCGGACAUCAGUCCGUCCAAGAGGAGAAGAAGGACAACAUUGAAAGGCGUUUAUAGGACGGACAAAAUGGAAAAGUGUUAAAAAAAAGAAAAAAAAAAGAAAAGAAAAAGAGGGGACAAAUUUAUUAAGGUAAAAUUGUACAGAAAGUUUUUUUUGAACAAUCCCUGAUUAUCUAAUUAUUCAAAAUUUUAAUUUUACCGUCCAAUCUUUUUAACUUAUUUAACCUGAGUCAGUUUACAAUUGUUUGACUUCAAAAUUUAUAUGAAAUAUACUAACUAAAUCUGUAAAGAUAAACAAUAUAUUCAAGGUUUGAAAAUCAAAAUAAUAUUGACCGAUUCAAAUCAAACAAAGUGGAGGUUAGAUAAUUGAAUUAAAAUUUUGAAAGAUUAAGUAGUUGAUUCAAAAUGAUGUAUAGUUCAAAUAAAUUAUGUACUUUUUUUACAUUUUUUGAAUACCUAUUUAAAUUUAAAAAUAUUGUAAAUUCUUCUCAAUAUUAAUAUCCUUUCAGAUCUCAUAAAUUAUCUGGAUUGUCCCUCUCUUUAGCUUCUGUUAAUUUUUCUAAUAUGAAACUAUAGUAAAAUAAUAUUUCUACCAUAAAUUAUUAGUUGGUAAAAUUGUAGGAAGACCCCUCACCUAUAGGUCAUUUUGCAAACGAAUAUUUUUUUCAUUUGAUCCCUUGAACUGUUAGUUUCUUUUAUUUGAUCUGCGCUUAGUAAAAAUAUUUUUGAUUGAGAUCCCUAACUCAUGAAUUUAGUAAAAUUUUAAUUUAGUCAGUCAACUGCUCAAAAGAAAAAAAAAAAAAAAAUUAAGUUGGGAGACUGUAAAUAAAAAGAAAUUAAAGUUAAAGGGAGCCAAUUUCAUAACAGGCUAUAGGUGAAGGGGUCUUCACAUUUUUACCUUUUUAACUGUAGGAUUUUUGCGCAUAAAUCACAUGAGAAAUACUCUACAUCAAGAACUUCGAUGAUCAAAAUAUUUUCCUAUGAGAUAUGUGAUUUGUUUAAAUGAUAUUAAAAAAUAAUUAUAUCUUGAGGUUACAUUGAACACUAAUAUCAACAGUUAUAUAUCAAAUAUGUAUAAUUUAAAUGUUUAUACUAAAUUAACCUUAAAUUCUUAGACUUAAGUUUAGUAUUAGGGGUAAAAAUAGUAUGUAAAAAAAUAUUGGAUGAUUUUUCAAUGGGCCUCUUAAACUUAAAGGGUAUUUGUGAUUAUUUUUAAUUUUUACUAGGGUAUUAAUGAUAUUCUUAGAUUUAUAGGGCAUUAAUAAAAUUAGAGUUUCUUUUGAAGUUUACUAGUGAAAAUUUUCAAAAUGAAAAAUAAAUACUACUGAUACGCACAAAAAAGUGUAAAUCUUACGUCUCCUCUUUCUCGGGUUUAAAAACUCUUAGAUAUCCAAUAUUAAAAAAAUAGAACUAAAUUUUAGAAAACCCCUUUAUAAAUAUUCAUUUUUUCACUUUUUCUUCUUAAUUUUCAAAAAAACUAUAUUUUACUCUUUCAACAUUUCAAAUUAUUGCAUUUAGCUUCCUUCCGUUUGUCCAUUUCUUAUAAUUUAUAAAAAAAAUAUUUUUCAAAAUAAUAUAAAUAUAUUAAAAAUAUAUUUUUCUAUAGAAAAAGAAAGGACAAUUUGGUCAUUUUACCCUUCACUUUACUCCCUCAACAUUCCAAAUUAUCGCAUUUAGUUUCCCUCCGCAAAGAGUUCUAUCACUAUUUCAUCCUUUUUUAUAAUUUAUAUAGAAAAUAUCCUUCAAAAUAAUAUAAAUAUAUUUAAAAAAUAUUUUUUUUCUAUGGAAGAAAUAAAAGUAAUUUGAUCAUUUUGUUCUUUCAAUUAAUGCCGUACCUCCCUGAAAAUAUUUCUAAAAUUUUAAGGGAACAAAAUAUAUAAUUUUGAAAGUCCUGGAGGAAAAGUCAAAAAAUAGAUAUUUAUUAAAAAUUUUUUUUAUAAUUUAGCCAAAAAAUAAUUUUGAAAAACUAAACACCUAAAUAUGUGUUCUUGAAUAAAAUGAAUGUAAGAUUUACACUCUCUUUUUGAUGUGUCAAUUAGGAGAUACGGAUACUCAUAAUUUUAUUCAAAUCUGAACUCGAAUAAAGUAAAUUUAUUUGAUAUUUAACGGAUAUAAUUAUGAAUACGAAUAUAAAAAAAAAACCGAGGUUUUGAAUUUGGGAUGGAUUUUGUCCGUACUCAACUCGAACCCGAACCCGAAGCCGACCCGAACGAAUUGAUUUUAUAUUAUAUAAUGUAUAUAAAAAUAUUUAAUGUUAUACUUGAAUUUAUAUUUUCAAAAAUUUAGCUUAAAUAUAAUUUGUUCUGAAAUAUGGUAAAAAGAAAUAAUAUUUUAGGUUCGGAUUUUCGGCUUUGAAUUUGAAUCUGAAUUUUGAAAAUAUGUCAAAUUCGACUUUGGGGUUUGGAUUAUGGAUUUGGUAGUUUGGUUCGGAGUUCAGAUUAUGGAUUUGGUAGUUUGGUUCAGCUUCGGAGUUUUGAAAAUUUGCUCCGAAUCUGUCCAUUGACAUCCCUAGUGCCAAUAUCUUUUUUUUUUUUGAAAGAAAGAUAACAUGCUACCCGUUUCGUUUAUUUCAUUUAGAAAUAAACUUAGCUGGAAAUGUGAAUCAACUAGGAUUCAAACUUAGGUCUUAGAUACCAACGACCAAACCUUUUUGCCACUUGCACUAUAGAGGUUCCCUGGUGCCAAUAUCAUUGCUCAAAGAAAAACAUCAUAAAGCUCCUCGUGGUACAAUGCAAAUUGUUGACACCCCUAGUACCAAUAUCAUUGCUCAAAGAAAAACAUCAUAAAGCUCCUCAUGGUACAACGCGUUUGCAGUUCAGUCCAAUCCCGUUUAAAUAUAACACUUCGCUCUUCUAUGAUUUUUUCUUAAUUGGUCGUACACAAUUAUAAUUAUACUGCAUGCAAAUCCAAAUUUAAUAUUGAUUCGAAACAUUUAAAUUCAAUUGCUACAAUUUGAACAGCACGAGGAGGUUCACUGCAUCAGAUAACUAUGCCCAAACUAGCUACAAUUUUUACUAUAAUAGUUGAAGAAAAUAAUUAAAAAAAAAAGUAAGCUUACCUUCCUAAUUUAUUUUCUACAUAGAAUGUAAUCUCACCGGUCCUUGUAUAAAAAAAAAAUAAAAUUUUAUAAAUGUAUUGUUCAACCACAUUCACCCAAAUAUAAUAUUUAUAGUUACAGCACUUUUUAUUAUAUCCUACAAAAUAAAUGUAUGUAAUUAUAACUACUGCAUUAAUUUUCAUUUACAAAUAACUUCGGCUAUACCACAGUUAUAAUUACAUCCAACUAAACUGCUCCGAAAGUGAAAAAAAAAAAAGAGGAAUCAUAAUGUAAAGACCAAAAAGGAGGCACUGCAAUAAAUCCUUUCUCCUUUCAUAUGCUGUACAGAAUUGACAAAGUAGAGAAACGAAGCAAUCCUUUCAUUUGCUGUACAGAUUCCAUAAAGCAGAGAAAAGAAGCAAGGAAUGGGAACAGGCAAAUUAACGAAGAAAGGGAGUGCUAAUCAACCACUCCAUAUUUUUUGGCCCACCUCUAUGCCAUCAAUCAUCUAAAUCUAAUAGUCAUUAAUUGAGAUCAACUCCAAAUGCCAACUAGCCACUUCCUCAAAAAGCAGAAACAUAUCAUCUCACCCAACAAAUAUAAAUAUAUAUAUAUAAACCCCAUGCAUGCAUCUAUUCAUGCUUGUCUCAGAGCCUUAAUAAGAGCCUCACACUCAUCCUUAAGUACACAAAAUCUUUAAACAAUCGCCGCGGAUAUAUAAUUUGUUGAGCUUUACAUAAAACAGUUGUGAAGAAUGACUGUUUCGUACCUGGCCCAGGUUUGCGUUCUCGGAGCAACCCUCGUUGCGGUGGCUGCUUCGGCUAACUUUGUCACCGAUGUCGACAUAACAUGGGGCGACAGCAGGGCCAAGAUACUCGACAACGGUCAACUCCUGGAGCUCACCAUGGAUGAGGCUUCGGGGUCGGGUUUCCAAUCCAAGAAUGAGUACUUGUUCGGUAGGCUCGACAUGCCGAUCAAGCUCGUGCCUGGGAAUUCGGCCGGGACCGUCACCACCUUUUAUGUAAGAUACACAUAUCUCUGUGAAAGUAAUGGUAAAUUGCGAUUUCUGCAUGUAUAUUAUAUAUACCCUUCAAGAUACACGUAUAGGUGUGCACACCUUUCUAAAGUUACAAUGUAUAGGUGUGCACACCUUUCUAAAGUUACAAUAUAUGUUGCGUAUGUACACCCUUUGAAACUUUUAGAUACCAAUAAACAUCGAUCGAAAUAAGCUAGAUUUUAAAUUUAUGCCCCACUGCUUCAAUGUGAAUAUGUGCAAAUAGAAGCAAGAAUAGUAGAAAUACGGCGAUACGUAGAAAUAUAUGCAUAUAAAAAUAUAUGUAUUUGUAUGUAUGUUUAUUUGUACGUACAAAUAUGCAGAGAGAUACGUAUUUCUGCAUAUUUUCAUUUAUGUAUUAAAUUGCAAAUUUUUGAUGGAUAUAUGUACAAAUACAGCUAUUUCAAAUGGCAAGAGCAGAAAUUGCAGAAAUACGUGUAACUUGGAGGGGCAUGCACACCGAAAUCCCUAGCGACUGUUAGAGCUAAAACAUAUGUAGAUUAGGCUACUGCCACUACUUUGAAAUAUUAAUGAUCUGCCAAAUGGUAGCUAGUAGUGAUUAAGUGAAUGAUGUCCUUUAAUCUGAUUGUACGCUCACAGCUAUCAUCGCAAGGGCCAACGCAUGAUGAGAUCGACUUUGAGUUUCUUGGGAACAUCAGCGGAGAGCCAUACGUACUUCACACCAAUGUGUAUGCGGAAGGGAAGGGCGACAGGGAGCAGCAGUUCUAUCUAUGGUUUGAUCCCAGGGUGUCCUUCCACAACUACUCUAUCCUCUGGAACCCCCACCAGAUAGUGUUAAGCACCCUCCUCCUUAGAUAUUUAUAUAUACCAUGCACUAUUUCUACAUUAGAACAGUAAACUAGCUUUCUACACCACUCUAUUAAUUCUAGCUGGUUAUAAUAGUAAAUAAGCUCUCCACACCAUCAAAUAAAAGGCCCAGUUUAUGUGGCAAUCAGAUGGUGGGACGGACAAACAUAUGUUUACUAGUACGUAGUUUUACGUGGUCUCUGAUUCAUGAUGCUUGGGAUAUGAUAGUAUCAUCUGGUAGGUGUUAUAUAUGCAGUGUCAUGAAAAAUCAAUGACAACGAGGACGUCGCAAUGAACUAAAUCAAACUUCCAGAUUGCAAUCACAACAGAAAACUUCCAUAAUUCAACAUCUAAAUAUGACGUAAAUUUCUUGGUUGAUUUAAUGCAGCUUCUACGUGGAUGCUACACCGAUCAGAGCUUUUAGGAACAGCGAGAAGAUGGGAGUGGCCUACCCUAAGAACCAGCCGAUGCGCCUCUACUCCAGCUUGUGGGAUGGAGACGACUGGGCCACCAGGGGUGGGCUCGUGAAGACUGAUUGGAGUCAAGCUCCUUUCGUGGCGUCGUACAAGAGCUUCAGCGCAGACGCGUGCGUGUCGACGGGCGGAACGUCGUUGUGCCCGGCUUCUAAAGGGACAUGGUGGGACCAGGAGCUCAAUGCCAGUGAGGAACAGAGACUCGAGUGGGUUAGGAGUAACUACAUGAUCUAUAACUACUGCGAGGAUGCAAAACGCUUUCCACAAGGGUUGCCUCCUGAGUGCACUUUAGAACAGUAAAUAUAUAUAUAUAUAUGGACCACAAGUGCGUGCUUUAAUUCCCUUGUAUUUCACGAGAGUGAAAAUAAUAAGAAUAAAAUAAACUGGAUCAUCAAGCUGCAGUAAGAUAAGAAAAGUUGUCACGCAGUAUUUACCUACAAGCUUUAUUUCAAUAAAAUGUGCAGAAAUAAGUAUCUAAUAAUUCUUUACCUUUGAUAUCUCCUCCUACCAAACUGCAGAAAUUGUCUCAGACGAAUUAUUACCACACGAAUGCACAUAUGUAUUUUUUGACUGCUAAUCAUGAUAGAAAUUGAAUUAUAGCAUGUAGGUAGGUAGACCAUUGUCUGACAUGCAUGGAUCUCUGUUUCUCUCGAACCUUCGUCAUCUCAGAAAAAUGGGCUCGAUUAAUUGCUGCACAUGCUAUGUGAUAGUGAACAUCUUGUAAUACUUCCACUCAAUCUUGACCACAUGCCCUUUUGAACUGAACAUCAUGUUGACGCAUUAUCCAAACAAGCCUUAAGGAUCAUCUAAAAUAAUGUACAAGUCAUGAUGGCCUUAUGAGUUAACGGAUUAAUUUCAAAUGUCCUAGAUGAGGUUACAAGGAUUGCGCAUGCAGAUCUGUACUAAGAACUGUUUUAAGAGUUAGAAAAGAAAGUUGCAACUAAAGUCACAUCAUUUGAUCGCUCAAACUAAAAGCCUAGCUAGCCUUCCAAGUGAAUAUUAUAAAUUUAUUUCGUUAACUGAAAAAUCAAGUCGAUGUCAAUUUGUUACUAAAUAUCUUUCUUUGCGAUCAUUAAUUAUAAACCCAUCUGUGAAAGCUUGGAGCUCAAAGGGGGAUAUAUUCUGGUUAAGCAUCGAGUUAAUGCAAGAACCCAGAUGCAUAGAUAGAUACUAAAAUGCUUAAGCAGGGGAAUAUAUUGCUAAAGCAUGCAUAACUAUUCUUUCUAGAAGAUGACAAAGAAGAAUCCAGUGCAUUUAGCAGAAAAUAAUGGACGACAGUUGUUGCACAGGUCGAAAAAACAACUGAUAUGUUUGGCCUCUAUAAUCUAUAUAGGACAAUAAUGAUAUGAUCAAGUAAAAAUAUGUCAGUUAGUAAUUAUUUAUAAAUAAAAUUCAUCUGAUCUGAAACAAGUCUUGAAGGGCAUGCAGUGAAGGAUAAUUAAAUAAGCAAGAAGACACUCAAGAAGACGUACGCGCGUUUAAUUCUAAUAGUAGUGGGUCAAGGGCAUCUAAUUAGGAAAGAGAGGAGUCAUGGACAGUGAAACAAGAAGCUUUGCUGAAUGAUGAAAUGGCAAUAAUUACUAUAGUUUUAAGGUCAUCGUGGAAGCUUGUGAUCAAUUAGAUCGUGUAUGCAUGUGAUAGCAAUAUUGGAGCAGGUUGAAGGUAUGACAUGCACUUCCUGUACCUGCCCCAUUGCAUAAAGAAAAGUAUCAAGGACCUAAGUUUUUUGCUUGCAAAAUCCAUGACAUGUAAUGCCUCUAGCACGCACUUCCUGUAGUGCCUCGGGAAUCGCAAGAAAAAGAAAGAGAGAGACUAUUAUUGAGUGAAUCGGAAUUAGAUUAUAUUGAUUGGCGAGAGAGGAUUACAAAUAAGUCGGGGUUGAAGGGCUUGAAGAGGAUGGGGCUGUCCUUUCCCCCUGAUACAGGGCAUGUUUGGUCUGGCUUCUGAAAAAAUAAUUUCUGCAGAAGAAAAUUUUGGUUUAAAUGAUUUUGAUGAAAAACUAUAGAGCGUUUGACUUAGUUUAGAUAAAAAUAAUUUUUUCUAAAAUACUUUUUUAAAACUAUUUGGCAAAAAAUUUUUGAUGGUUGCAUAUAUUAAUAUUUUUACUAAAUUUUAUUUUAAAAUAAUUUAAAAUUUGAAUUAAAAGUGUAAUUUUUAAAUUUCAAUUUGUAUUAAAAAUAAAUUGAACAUUAAAUGUAAAGAUUUAAAAUUUGAAUUUUAAAUCUAAAUUUAAAUUUCAAUUAAUCUAAUUUAAAUUUUUAAUUUCAAAUUUAAAAUCUAAAAUUUUAAAAUUCAAAUUUAAGAUUUGAAAUUUAAAUUCAAUUAAAUUUAAAAAUUUAAUUUCAAACAUAAAUUUAAAUUUCACCUUUACAUUUAAUUUUAAAUUUUAUUGUUGAAUUUUCAAUUUAAAAUUAAAAAAUUUAAAUUUUAAUUUGAAAUUUGAAUUAAAAUUUAAAUAUUGAAAUUAAAAAUUUGAAAUUUAAAAAUUUUAAAAUUGAAAUUUAUAAAAUCUAAAUUAUGAAUUUGAAAUUUUGAUUUUGAUAUUGUAAAUUUGAAAUUGAAUUACAUAAAAUUUGAAAUUUUAAAAAUUAAAAUUUAAAAUUAAAAUGUAAAAUUUGAAAUUUGAAAUUUAAAAUUUUAAAUUUUGAAUUUUGAAAUUUAAAAUUAAAAUUUAAAAUUUGAAUUUUGUAAUUUGAAAAUUAAAACUUGUAAUUUUAAAUUUUAAAUUUUCAAAUUUCUAAAUUUAAGUUUUAAAAUCUGAAACGUCAAAAUUUAAAGUUUAUCUUAAAUUUAAAAUUUAAAAUUUUGAAUUUUAAAAAUUUAAAAUUUAUAAUCUAAAUUCUAAAUUUUAAAUUUGAAAGUUUAGAUUUAAAAAUUCAAACAUGAAUUUAAAAUUUUAAAAUUUAAAUUUAAUGUUAAAUUUAUACAUUGAAUCUAAAAUAAAAAUAAAAAUUUAAAGUUGAGUCCAAAAUUAGAUUCAGUUUUGGAAAAGCAAUUUUUUUCUGUUUCUAAUUUUGGAUCCUUCAAAAUCAGUUUUCUGAUUCUGAAAAGUAAAAUCAAAAUUUUUAUCUAUCAUUCUCAAACACUCUACUGAGCUCAAAAGUGAUUUUGGGCUAAGAAUCAUUUGUGAGAAGCUAGGCCAAACACCCUCGUAGCCUGCUUGACACUAUAAAUAAGAUUCCAUUUACUAUGCACCACAUAGUGCUUACAUACAAGCCAAGAGGGGAGGCAACUACCACCUACCAUCUCUCCUCAGACUACACUUUCUAAACUCUGUGGUAGUUCAUGACUCCUUAGCAUCCACGUCAAUAAUAUAACACUCAACAAUAAUAUCUAGAAAGAUUCUAAUUAAUCUCCAAAAUUAUGACCUUUUUUUAAGUUUGUGUGACUGUCAAGGGCGGACAGCUAUAUUAUGAAAGAUAGAACUGUUCCCAAGAUUUCAUGACCAAACAAAACUGCAGAGGACAAUGCUAGAGACUGAAGUUCUUCAUUUCUGGGGCAUGACAUGCUGCUUACAACGACUAGUCCUAUGUUCAAAUUGUCCAGUCUGAUAGUAUAAAUGCAAGUAAAAGUGGUAAAAGAGACAGCUUUAGAUGGAUAGAGGAAUUACUUUUUGAAAUCACUUUCAUAUUCAAAUACCUUCAGAAAAUGGAUUCAGAAGGUUUCCAAAGACUGCAGCACUUUGUACCUUUCCUGGGACAAAAGACUUCCUAUAAAAAACGCAGCAACACCAUGGCAGUCACACCUACAUAUCUGCUUUAGGAAUUGAAUCGGAGACAACGUUAGAUGAUCAAAGUUAAAUUGACUUGAGGACAAAUUGAUAGAUCUAAUUACGAAAGAUGUAAGCAUUUUAUGCACUAUGAAAAACAGUUAUCCACAAUAGAGCCCAAAGACACACACAUCCAAAUUUAAUGGAAUAAUACAUUCUUUAUUAACAAACAACGCGUUAAUGACAAUAAAACAAAAAUUAAGCAAAUAUUUAUCUACUCAUGGUUUCUCAUCUACAAAUUGCAUGUCAAAAAAUGCUUGAUAUAGGCCUGCGCGAGCAUAUUGCCGAGCUCCACUUGAGCUUCAGUUGAGAGAUGCAAGUUAUCUUCAUUUAGUUGUAAUCCCUUAGCAUCUACACAGACAACAUUGGGCAUAUCAAUUCCCAGUUGAGCCUUUCUCACCUCCUCUAUAUACUGCUUAUCCCCUGAAGCAAUAGCAACCUGCAUAGUUUUAACAAAAAUUAUAAACUGGAUCCAGACCAUACGCCUUUAAAGAAAUUACAACCUAAAAGUGAAGUUAAUUAUGAAUGAGAAGCCAUUUGAGAGUAAGUAAAAUGAAAUUACAUGUGAAAUUCAGUUGUGUUGGUUAUGGACUUAAAUAAAAAGGUAACUUGAUAGGGAAGAGAAGAAUAUACAAAGCCGCAAAUUAUACUGCCAACUUGGAACAUUAUAGCAGAUAUUCCAUAUAGCUAGAAUGAUGGAACUUCAAAGGAAAGUCUUAAGAAAAAGAAACUGUUCAUUCUAGUAUAUGCGCCUUCGACGAACAGUAGUUGUUUAUUGUCUUCUUAAAAGCCUACUUGUGCCUGCUCAAACCUAUCAUAAAGUACAAGGAAAGGACCCUUCCGAAGAACUACGGAUCUGAUGUCGUUUCAUUUAGUCCAUGAAGUAACAAAGUACAUAGGGGGUCGGAACUACAAGUCCUAUAUUAAGGAAUUGUGAUUGGUGACAAGAUGCAAUUCUAUGCUCAAUGAGGAAGAGCUCGGUGACUGACAUAAUUUUAAUAUGUACAACAAGAGGGAGAAAGAAAACAAGUUUUUGCAAGGUCUAGGACAUUAUCUCAAAUAAUUGCUAGUAAAGGAUAAAAAUAAAAGAUGGUUCAGGAAUCACCAGCUAAAGGGCUUGCCGAUAGUGACUAAAGAGCGCGCUAGUUCAGUCUAACUAGAUGGCUUUACGAAUGAGAUAAAUGAUGGCGCCGAUUAGUCUUCAUGCCAGCAGUAUAGCGUUACCAAUUAACUGCAUUGCUUUUCGCAAGAGUUAGAUUAACUAACCCGGGUUCAGCGGAUUGGGUUCGAUUGGAGUAAGUCCGGUUCAAUCAUCUUCCACCUAAAUCAAACCAAACAUCCGAACUUGAUCACUUCAUCCAAACUCGAGUUCAGCCCCAUCACUUGCAGCGAUCCACAUCUUAAUAGAAUGGGACCAAUGUCCAUGACCGGGUCUACCCUAUUCUCAUUGAUACAUAGUGCUUUAGCUAAAAAUCUUACAGCUAAGAAAAUUUCACGAGGUGAAACUUAAGCUACACUUAAAAGUCAAUGAUUUUAUCAGGAGAUGAUGAAGUUCAUCUGCUAGAGCGCUUAAUACUUCGUUUACAAAGAAACCAUACAUUAACUUAGCAGUCACAGCAGAUGGCGACGGUAUGCCUCUGCAGCAUAUGUGAGACUCUCCCACAUCCACAGUGGAAUGCGGUAAACAAAGUACGAAUUGCGACAAUCGACCCAAUAUUUCUAUCAAUGGAAGCAAAGAUGGCAGAGAUCAUGCCACCGGCAGCAAUCUGUACAUCAAGAUGGCAUACUUCUCCUCGUAGAUACCAAAAAAAAGAGAAGAAUAUUCAUCUCAAUUUAGAAAUCCUAGGACAAUAAUUCACCAAGUAAUUCCCAUAUGUCCCUUCACUUCAAUUAUCACAUUUUGCUACGACCUCUAGAACAAUAGUAAAACGCAAAUAUGUAAAACCUGCAAGCCAUUUGCUACCAUAUCUUAUACAAAUUAUGGACGAAAUAUUUAUACAAGUCUAGAAUGUUUAAGGGACGGAAAAAAAAAUUUUUUUUUUUUUUUUUUUUUUUUGAAAGGGAUGAGAAUGACCUGGAUGAAUGGUAGAUCGGGGGAAUUGAGAUCGGAUCGCACAUGUUUGAUCAGCUUCUCCAUGUUGGAUCGAUACUUGGGCGCGGCGUGCUCGGUGGCGUCGCUCUCGCCCUGGUACCACAGCACCGCCCGGAGCUCGCCGCCGCCGGCGACGGCCUCCUUCGCCCUCCGCACCAUCUGGGCGUAGAGGUGGGUCCCCGGCUCCCACUCCCGGAUGGCGGUGCCGCCGACGGCGCAGGGGACGAGGCCGAUCGCGGACGAGGAGGAGACGGGGAGGCGGGGGAGGAGGGCGUUGGCGAAGGCCAUGCCGGGGCCGACGCCGCAGGUCUUGGCGGUGUCGAUGUCGGCGUGGAGGGGCUCGCGCGCGUCCUCCCAGCGGGCGCCGGCCGACAGGCGGAGGACGGCGGAGGGCGCGGGCCCGCACGCCGACGGCACGACGCCGUCCCAGCGGCGCGCCCGCACGCCGCCCCGCCCGGACAUGUUGCUCUGCCCCGACAGCACGAAGAUGUGCUUCUUCUUCUCGAUCGUCGCCAUCGCCGCCGGCCGAGGAGCAGGGUCCGAUGCGAGUGGUGGCGGGACGUGCGCCGAUUCGUCGCCGCUGCCGCCUCCGUUGCUCGUCUCCAUUUGCCGUCGCUGAAUCUGAUUCAAGACUCAAGAGCGAAAUGCUUUCAUUUGCGCAGGAACAGAGGAAGAGAUGCUUUGCCCACUCAGCAGAGUCAAAGGAAAGAUAAAUUAUAGAUUUUUGUUUGUUAGGAAAGGCUAAAUUACCUGAAAACUAAUUAUGAACAUUGGUUUUUUUAAUGUUUUCUUUAAUUUUUAAAAUUUUAUAUUUUAUCCUUUUAAUAUUUUAUAUUUCAUUAUUUUGCCAUCUCCAUUAACGCGAUUUUUUUCUGAAAAUUUUUUAAAAUUUUAAGGAAACAACAUGUAAUUUUUAAAAGUCGAAGAGAAAAAUGGAAAGGCAGAUAUUUAAAUAAAUUAUCCUAACCAACUUAAUUAGAACAUCCUUAAAAAUUCCCAGUAACCUUGGCUGCUAAGCACCUUGAAGUUUGGUUUUAGGCUUCAUUUUGGUGGAUUUCUUUGAUAUUUUUUUAAAAACACUUUAGGAGAUAUUUAAAAUAUAUAUUAAUUAAAUAGGAUAAUUGUUUAUGUAUUUUUAAAAUAUUUUCGACUUUCUUGUUUACCUCUCUUAGAAGGCUAAUAUUGAAAAGGAUUAAUUACAUACAACUCUCUGUAAAUAUAGCGAGUUGAAAAUAUAUUCCUAUAAAGUUUAACUUUCUUAUUUUAUUCCUGCAAAAAUUCUAAUGUUUUCAAAUAUGCCCUACCAUCAGGAUUCAUUAGAAAAAUUUAGUUAGUCAUUGGUAAAAUAUUUAAUCUAGAUUAAUCAAUGAGAUAAAUUGAUAUUUUUAUCCCUUUUAUAUUCUACCUUCAUCUCUCAAUCAAAAUCCUAGAAAUGAGAACUCUUCUUCUUCUUCUUCUUUUUUCUCUUUCUCUUCCUCUCUCUCCUUCAUAUAUGUUAGUCUCCAACCAGUAAUUAGAACAUCUUCGUCCCUAUUCAUCCACUACGUGUGUUGCUUCGGCGCCCAUGCCGAAUGCCUGUUGCUUCUCCAUUCAAUUUUUUCUAUAAUUUUUUCUUAUUUUGCUCAAAAAAACAGUUUAGGAGAAAGGGAGAGAGAAAAAGUUACAACAAUAGUGGAUUAAGUUAGUUUUUUAAAAAGAAGAAGAUAAUUAAGGAAGACGACUAUCGGAAAUUUUUAGGGGGACAUUUCUGUACGAUUAUAGCAGUUGAGGCCUCUGGAGAGAUAUAUAUUGGUGAUGACAAAAUUGACAUUUCACUUAUCUACUGUUAAAAACUAAACAAUUCUCUAACGGUAACAAACUAGAGGAACAAAUAUGAAUAUUACUGGACUUUUGUGAAGAUAACAUAAGAAAGUUGAGCUUUGUAGGGAUAUAUUUAUAAUUCGUCAAACAUGACAGAGAAUUGUAUUCAAUUAACCUUAUUAAAAAUAUUCUUUUAAUGUUCUAAGUUAUUUCAAAUGUAUUUCUAGAGUUAAAUUUUGUUUAUUAACUGUUAGGAACAACUGUUAUCUCUAUAAAAUUACUAUUUCCCCUUUCAAAUAUACCAACUUUUUAUAUUUGCCCUUAAGUCAGGAAAAAAUAAAGUAUUAUGACUUUUUGCCUUUUCAAAUAUGCUCUUUUACUGUCGCCAACUUUUCUUAUUUGCCCUUAAGUUAGGGACAAAAGAGGUAUUUUGACUUUUUUUUUUUAAAUUCUAAUAGAAAUUUAAUAUGGAUUUAACCUGACAUGAUUUAACAAAUACUAAUAGCUGGAUUAUUUUUGAAUAACGGAGAAAUAUAUGAGGGGUAUAUUUGAAAAAGGGUAUAUAAAAUAUUUCAAAAGUUUGGAAUAUAUUAGAUAUUAUCCUGAUUAAAUAUUCUGGAUUUAUUUUAGGUUUACCGAUCGGGCAUUCUUCAUCUUCUCCUUGAGUUUUCAGUUUGUGUGAUUGAAAUGUGAAGGAUUCUAUCCCAUGAGUUACUCAAUUAAAUAAAGUUCAUUAUUUUAAUUUUUCGUAACACUCUUGUUGUUGACUCAUAUCUCCAAUACAAAUUGCUUCCUUAGUAGUUAUGGUUACUACUUUGUGAUAUUCUACCUAUUUUAUCAAAUGCUAUAUUCUCCAUCAUGAUUUUAUGGAUAAAUGAAACUUUUCUUACUAUGUGUAUUCAUUAAUUAAAAGGCUAAAUUAUAAAAAACCCCCUGCAAUAACCCGCUUUUUGACUUUUUCCCCUUAACAUUUAAAAACCUACACUUUGUCCCCUUAUAAAAUGAAAAAUGUUCACAGGGGGGUUACGGUGUGUAAAAUGACCAUUUUGCCUCUUGCCAUUUUCGUCUUCUUCCUCAUCUUCCUCAGCCGCCCCUUCGAUCGGCCGCGAUUCCCACCUCAAUCGGCCGCGAUUUCUCUCCAUUUCCUUCUCCCCUUCUCCUCUUGCACCCUUGCCGCCUCUCGAUUUCGACGAUAGUAGGGAGGAAAUCGAGGAAGGUGUUGAUGCAGAGGUAGGCAAGGGCAAUGAGGGCGAAGGCGAGGCGACGGAGGAGGGCGAAGGGGAUGUGGGCGAGGGCGAGGUAGUGGAGGACGGCGAGGCGGCAAGGCGGUGAGCCGGAGGGAGGCGAAGCAACAAGGAAGAGGGCGGAGGGGUAUUUUCGGCAUAAAAAAAUAUUUUAUAACGGAACUCUAACGGAACCCUAACGGUAGGGGGUGAAGUGCACAUUUUUCAUUUUACAAGGGAGCAAAGCGUAGGUUUUUAAAUGUCAGAGGGAAAAAGUGAAAAAGCGGAUUAUUACAGGGAGGUUUUCUGUAAUUUAGCCUAAUUAAAAUGCAUAAUUUGAAAUUGCUAUGCUAAAUUUUUUAUGACUAGUACUUGAUAUAUUGUUAAUAGGACUCAUAUUGGAAGACUUAACUUGUACUUGACAUUUAUAUUAUUCAUAUUGCUUUGUACGUUUACGUUAUUGAUAUUACUUGAUUAUAAUUUGUCGAAUCAAUCAAUCAUCAAUACAAAUACAAAUACAUUAAAGGAGAAUCCUCAACCUCCUCUCUGCAUUUUUGGAUUAGUAGGUCCCACAGAGCAGGGUCCCACAGAUCACUAAUUUUUUUUGUCUGUAGUCCCUUUUCAUUCCCCUCCUCUCUUUCUACUCUCACUUAUUCUCCUCUCCUCUUUCUCUCUUCCUCUUUUUCUCUUCUCUCUUGCGAGCCCUCAAAGAUUUUCAUAUGCCUCCACCUCGUAUGCGCCGCCACCGCCUCCUACGCGCCACCUGCGCCUCGAUCACGUGAGCACUGUACGGGGCGAUAUGCCCCUCGAGGCCUUUACUCUCUCUUUCGCUCUCGCUCUCGCUCUCUCUCCGUCGUAUCAAUCUAUCAUGAUCCGUGCUGCCGCCCAUCUCAUCAGAUCUCGCGAUCCCAUGGACCUUGUUGUCCUACUUUCAAAUCCCGCAAUAUCGGCCGGAUCCCAUUGUCCUCCGACUCUCAAAUCCAGCAAUAUCGACUAGAAAUAUCGCUGGAGAUUUUGCACCGUCCGUCCCAUCACAAAUUCAACUGCCACACACAAAUCCCACCGCUCCAUGCUCUCUACCUCUCCAACCUCUCCUACAUCUCUCUCUAGGGUUUUCCAUCCUUAUUCCUAAUUCCUAAUCCCCCAUAAACCCUCUCAAUACAUACUUUUGGCAGAGAAGAAGAUAAGGCGAACAGACUCUUGCUCCAAGCGACAGAGGAGAAUGUACGGCGCGCCGUCAACGACCGAAACCCUAGCGAUGGCGGUGGAGGAAUUUCAGUGAAUGAGGGGAGUGGAGAUCAACUUGUCGGGGCCGUUCGAAUUGGUGAAGGUGGUGAAGGAGGCCGUCAAUUGCUUCUGCGGGAGCGCCAUGUGGAGGUCUCAGCUCAAGCAACUCAUCGCCUCUGAGGUUCAUGAGAAUCUUUUUUCUUUUUCUCCUGUUACUUUUCAUUAUUUGCCUCAUCAUUUUGCUAAUUUAUCUCCUUUUUUAUUUUUAAUCUCUGCAUUAUGUGAAUAAUUAUUUAAAAUUAACGGUUUUAAUUUGGAGAAAACUAUAAGACUAGUUGAAGUUAGUUAAAACUAAAAAUUGAAAAUGCAUUACGGUUAUUGAUUUGUCUUGGUUGGACAUUUAUAUAUUUGGUUCCAUGAACAUAUAUUUGACCUAUUUAAUCAGGUCACUUAAUGAGACAUGAUUAGCUAGCAACUUAAAUAUCUAUAAUUUCACAAUAACAGCGAAAAGUUAGCUUCCAUCAGAACUUCAUCAGUUUUGUAAGUACUUUAAUUUUUUUAAAAAAGAUUUGAAGUAGACAAUAAGGAAGGUAGCAAUUGCAUGAUUUAGUUGCAGUCAUGAUCAGAUUUGAACGAGUUCGGAUAAAUCAUGUCCUCACACGUCGUGUCAAAAUUUGCAGUCAAUCAUAAUCAAAUAGCUCAAUUGAUCACCAAUCAUACCACAAUGUUUGAUUUACUAAGAAGCUCCUGCAAUAACUAAAGUUGAAUAAAACACUAAUAGCAUUUAUACAUUUGAUAUCAAAUAGGAGGUUUUAAAUUAUGAAAAGCUUUUUUUUGCUGUAAUUUAUAGAGCUGUUUUAGUGUUUUCUGUCUUGUGGUCAGCUUUGAGAGUAAACUGAUAGAUCGACAUUAUAGGUGAAGCUCAUUAACAUCAUAGUUAAAAUGGUACCGAAAUUUUAAUAAUUUUCAUAUGCUCUACUUAAUUAGACACAUGACAUACACUAAUGACAUACACUUUUUUUCAUAGGUGUGCAGCCUUUUUUUCAAAAGAGGCGUUUCAUCAAUGGCUUUGCAAUGGGAUUUUCUUACCACAAGUUGAGUAUCUAAUUAACUCACACAAUUGUGUUUGCUAAUAUUGUUUGCUGUAGUUGCUGCAGAGAGCAUGACCUCCGUUGCUUAAAUGUGAUUUUACAACCUAUAAUGUGUUUCAAUAGUUAUCAUAUUUUCUCGCAUGCAGAUUGUUCCCUAAAUAAUAGAUGUCAAAAAAGUGUGCUUGCUUUAAUUGACAUGCAGAUGUACCUAUCUUUGUAAUCUAAGAACUAGGCACAUUCUCCACCUCACAAAAAUAGCAUGAUUUUCCAUUGGCCUAAUUCCAAUUAAAAGUUUUGUAAAUAUUGCGCUUCAAAUUAUAUAGUAUUUGCAAAUUCUAUUAGUGGCAUUAGAAGAGAUAUAGCUAAACAUUAUCGGAUUAUCGACAGUGUAACACACUGAACUUUAGCAAAUUUGCGAGGUUCGAGUGUUUGAUUUAUGAACUGAGCCUUUUUGGGUUUUCUGUAUGGUCGUCGACUGUGUUCCGACCUAUGAUUCCCGAGGAGUGAGGAUGAAAAUCUAGCACCAAAACCUCUAAAAAGAAGGAUUUGGGCUGCUCUUGGGUUGACUCAGCAGGGCAGAGUACCGGUACUGCAUCGGCUUGGUACCGGUACUAGACCUGGUACCGGUACUUCAUCGCGAUGGUACCGGUAUGCAGUGUAUUUUCUAGCUUACCCGAGGCUCGGGUUUGGGCGAGCUGCUGCCUAGUACCGGUACUCUUGCCCGCGUACCGGUACGCAGUGCUGCGUGCAGUCUGCAUGUUUUUUAGGGUUCUCCUUGCAAUUGUUGCAACACUUUAUAUACCCCACACCUUUUGGCUGGGGUCUCUUGUGCUGCAACCAGAGAGGAGAAGAGGUAGGGUUCCUCUUCCAUUUUACUUGGAUUUUCCCCUCUCUUUUGCUUUGGAUUUGAGGAUUGAUCUCUCCACUUGCUUCCUUUUUGCAUCUUGGUGACCUUUCCACCAUUGGUGAAGCUUUGGAGCUUGGAUUGGAACCUUUUGGAGGAAAGAUUUCUAACCCUAGCUCACUUCUGGCUUGGUUUGGAGCUUCUAGAGAGGUUAGUAGCUUCGAUCUUCCAUUUGAUUCAUAUUUUGGUAGUUUUUCGGAGAUGAAAACCUAGAAAUGAGAAUCUAGGGUUUUAUUUGGGGUUUCUUGAUUUGAGGCUUUUGAGUUGAAAUUGAUGGGUGUAGAAUACUCUUAUAGGUUGGAUUUGAAGCUUUUUAGCUUCGAUUUGGGCUUUGAUCAAGUUCUUCUUGACCCAAGGUAUUUUUACACUUUUUUAUGUGUAAUUUUUGAAGUAGUCAUUUUAUAGCUUUGAACCCUUUAGAAUUUCUCUUAGGGUGUUAGAAGUUUGGAGGACAACUUCAUUCGAAGGAACGAAAGGGUUCGAAGUGCUUCCGGUGGGUUUGACCUCAUCGAAAUGGAUGAACUCCCCCUAUGUCUUCCUUAUGGUUUAAGACAUAUUUAUAUACUUAUCCAUGCUUAAUAUGACAUGCUAGAAUUUAUGAAAACAUAAUACAUACAUGUUAUGUAUAGUCAAAUUUGAUGCUCUAUGUAGUAGAGGCUUAUAUGUGAACUUGUGCACGAACUAGCACUAUUUGAUGCAUUCUCUCUUAUGCAACCAUAGAAAGCAUGUUAGAGUAUGAAUGAUGGUAUGACUCUUAGGGGGUAUCUAGUGAAUGGCUUAGCAAAGUGAUUAUCUCACAUGAUGAACAAUAUACUUGUGACGACAAGGACAUGUGACAUUGCGACCUAGUGAAUAAUAAGGCUAGACAUGAAGCUAAGCAUGUUGUAUUUUAACCUAGUGGGAUGCCUAGGGCUUGAUAUUAUGACAAUGUAUUGACUUUGAGAUCGAUAGCAUAACUACAUGACUUUGACAUGUGAAAUGAAUGAGACUUAGCAAUUAGUUGCUUGUUGAGAUAUACUUGAAUAGACAAGGUAAAUUUGACAGUGGGACAUAAGUGCAUGUUAGGGUCUACAUGAAGCUAGUUUUGAUAAAUCUAAUGUAGUUGAACAACUAGUAUAUGAUAUAGUGAUAUUGCAUACAAUGUAGGGAUCGGUAAUAGCAUUCCAUGUAGUAGACAUGAGGAUAAUGAUUGGAACGCCCUUGGGCGAAUGACAAGUUGGAUAUUUGCAUGUGGCAUUAAUUGAAUGAAAUCACUUGCAUGAUAAUUUACUACUCCAUGUAGUGGAGGCCUUGUUAGUAAUGUAAAUGCAUGACAUGCACCAUGGACAUUGUAAAUACCUAUGCAUAUGGUAUAAGAAAGUGAUUUUUCCCUAGCUAUUGUGGAAUAGUAUAUGUGUAAGCUCUCAUGGAAACUUAAACCUUAGUGAAUUACCCUAGAUAGGAUAAUGACAAGAGUUAUGUGCUUAGGAACUAGUGAUUUAUACUUGAUAUAGUAAACCAUAAUGUCAUAAAGUGGCAUUGGAUUUAGUAAACGGUUAAACUUUUACACCAUGACAUAGAACUAGACCUUUGAAUUGUUAAACCUAUAAAUUUGCAUAAUAAUAUACUUGCAAUGAAUUGAAACCCUACUGUCUAAUCAACGGAGCAUGUGGCUUUCCUUUGUAUGCAUGCUGUAGACUAAACGUAUUUUUGAAGAUUUGUACAAAUUACGAAUGUAGUGUGGACUUAUUUUUAUAA
rnacentral:lncRNA from 1 species